rnacentral:lncRNA from 1 species
CCAUAUGUAGUUUGCUUUUGAAUGCUCAUUUGUGCCAUUUGGGGAAGUUGGAGCCAGGGUUGACUUAAAAGAUGCAGGGGUUACAGAGGAUGAUGUAGAUUGCUUUAAGGACGAAAGAGGUACAUUACUUGAGAAUAUAAAAGGUUUAGAAGACAGUGGAGAUGGCUCAGAGUGUGAUGUUUGAAAUUUUAGGAUAGGUGAUGUGUUCUUUUCAACCUGUUUGUUGGUGGCUUUUGAAUGCUCAUUUGUGGCAUUUGGGGAAGUUGGAGCCAGAGUUGACUUAAAAGAUGCAGGGGUUACAGAGGAUGAUGUAGAUUGCUUUAAGGACGAAAGAGGUACAUUACUUGAGAAUGUAAAAGGUUUAGAAGACAGUGGAGAUGGCUCAGAGUGUGAUGUUUGAAAUUUUAGGAUAGGUGAUGUGCUCUUUUCAACCUGUUUGUUGGUGGCUUUUGUCUGUUGAUUGGUCACAUUUGAGAAAGCCGGAGUCAAAGUUAGUUUAAAAGAUGGUGGGUGCUUAAAGGAUAAUGGAGAAGACUCCGAGGAAGAUAAUGAUGCUUUAGGAAUAGUUUUAGAAGAUGGUGAUACUUUAGCUUCUUUAGUGCAAGGUUUUGAUGAAGUUGAGGGUGCAAAAGAUAAUGUUUUAGAAGAAGAUAAGUGUGAUGUUAGUGAUUGAUUUUGGUUAGAAGAAGAUGUUGGCGGUUUAGAUCUCGACAGAGUCGGACUUGAAGAGUAUGUGAGUUUAGUAGAUGAAGGUUGUUGUAGCAUAGAGGAAGAUGUGUGUGGACUAUAUGAAGAUAUAGGUUCAUAUUUUGCAUAAAUACUUGAAGCACUAUGCACAUCAUCAAUUCUUUUUACUGUCUUAACAUAUGUUGGUUCAAAGUUUGUCGGAUUACUUGACCCUGAACCAAAUCCUACCCUAUAUAUAUUAGGAGUAAUUGUUUCACCUGAAGUAUUUCCAUAUAAUGUUUCAGAUUCAUAUUCAUCUCCACGAUCCUCAACCCAACCAAGAAUACGCCUCAAGAUUUCAAGAAACACAGACAUGUUAUCCUGCAACCAAAAUAUGCACAGGUACUUAAAAACCUCUUUCAGUUCCUGAGAAGUAAUUAAUUUGACAAUUUUUUCAUAGAUUUGAAAAUCUUAACUCCACAAAGCCAAAUAAUUCAAUAAUAAACCAAUAUAUGUUAUUUCUAAUGAGUAGAUUAUCAAGCAUGGAGAGGCAAUCAAAAGAAGCUUAGCUCAAAAACUCAAUCUAUCAUGUUAAAAUCAAGGAUUAUUUGCUUCAUGUUUAGUACUGAACCAAAAAACUGACACCUGAGAUUACAAAUAAAAGUUUGAUGAUUAAAUAGGAUUUUGCAAAUUCUCGAGCUGCAUAUAUUUAUUAGUUAUUGAUUGAGAAAUCUACAAGAAUUUACACCAGUUCUGGUAAAGUUGAGUCUCAGUCUACAGUUGCUGGAUUUCAAGAAUUGGAGAUGAUAAAGGAUAGUGGAACCUAAAAAGGAAAGAAUUCUUCAUACAUAAAAUAAAAAAUCAAUUUAAAAAUGUUUUAAUCAUUACCUCAGAAACCCAUUUUGUACUCAUUUUGUUUCUGAUUCAUAUCUUUUUUUUUUUUCUUUUGUUAACAAAAAAAAAAACAACUUUCCCUUCCAAGAAUACCAUUACAGAAAAGAAAAGAAGAAAAAAAAGAGGAAAUAACUUACUGAUCAUAACAUGCAAUUGAACCAGAUGAACUGCUUGGUUAUUUUGAGAGAAAAGAUAAAUGUUAUACGGACAAGAAAAAAGAAUCUAUCAGAAAAUAAGAUCAAAGAAAGAACUUUGACUUACCUGAGAUUUCCCGAACCCUAAGCAAAGACUGGGUAGUAUGCGACUCAAGUGGUGAAAAGAGAAGACUGAAUACCAAAAAGUGUUUUACAACAAGGAACGACUAUUAUAUUUAUAAACAUUAUCAUAAAGAGUUCUCAAAUUAUCCUUCAUUUAUAUUUGAAAAAGUAAGUUUGUUAGAUUUUAAAAAUUAACAAAUUAAUUGAAAGAUUACUUUAAACAAAUUUAUUAAUUGUGCUUUUAUAUAUUACUAGUGUUAGAAUGAAAUGAUAGAAAUAAUUUUUAUAACUUCCGAUACAAACACAAUAUGAAAAAAUUAGACGGUUGACAUGAACACGACAUGUUUAAUUCUUUUAAUAUCAUAAAUAUGUUAAGUGGGUCGUAUUGAUCCAUAUACAACUCGUGUGACCCGCUUAAUAUCAUAAAUAGGUUAAGUGGAUGUGUUGACCUAUAUACGAUUCACUUAACCUACUUAUUGUAUUUUUUUUUAACUUUUAACCUAUUUAACUCCAAUCAUAUUUAAAAAUAAAUUUUCACGCUAAACAUGCAUAAAUUCUUCAAGACUCAUAAUUAAAAUAAAAAAAUAAUACAACAAUAAAAUUUGAAUAGUUUUUAGUUGGAGUUUUUAUAUUUAACACCAAAAUUACUUUUUUACUCUUAGAUAAACGGUUCACUAAAAUUAUAUCUUGCUGGUCGCAUUACAUUGGCGAAAGCUAUUUUAUUUGCAAUCCCAAGCUAUGUGAUCCAGACUUUUAAGCUGCCUCUGCAGGUUUGUUCACACAUCGAGAGUAUUUAUCGUAACUUUAUCUGGCGGUCUUCUAAUGAGAGAAGAGGCAUUCCUUUAGUGUGUUGGUCUGAUAUGUGCCAUCCUAAGGGUAUAAGUGGAAUGGGGUUCAAAGAUAUGAAAUCUUUUAAUGAUGCAUUUUUAGUUAAAAUUGCUUGGGGUGUUGUUGCUAAAUCGGAGACCCUGUGGGCUCAUAUUUUAAGGGCCAAGUAUUGCAUUGGAGAUUAUUUUAUUCCUACUGCAUUUCGUGGUUCAUCGGAACCUUGGCUAUGGAAGACUGUGCAUAUUGUGUGGCCUUACAUAGCUAGUGGUGUCAACUGGUCCUUGGGGGAUGGACGGACAACUCGUUUUUGGUUUGAUCUGGGUUUUAGGGACUGGUCCUCUAUUUUUGCUUUCUUCCUUACCUAUGAGUGAGUUUGAUCUAAGGAGGAAGGUGUUUGAGUUUGUGACGCCUGCUGGUAUUUGGGAUUGGUCGAUGUUUGCCCUUUUCCUCCCUACUAGUCUUCUGUGUAGAAUAGCAGCUGUGUUGCCUCCUUGUGCUGAUGGCGGGAUGGAUUCUCUUUUCUGGGGUUUCUCGGCUUCUGGAGCCUUCAUUAUUAAAUCAACCUACUAUGCAAUUUCUAAUCACACAAUUGUGAGUAAGGAGAGGAAAUGGAGGUUUGUUUGGUGCUAGAAGGGUCUAAAGCGCAUCAAGACUUUUCUAUGGCUAGUGUUGCACCAGAAAUUAUUGACUAAUACAGAGCGAUGUUGUUGUCAUCUAGUUGUAGAUUCUUGCUUCCCCUGUUGUUGGCAGGAGGAGGAAACUCUUUUGCAUCUCCUGAGGGACUGUAGUAUGUCAGAUGGUGUUUGGAAAGAUUUGGUGCCGGUGGGUUAUGUUCCUGUGUUUUUUGCAGCAACUGGCUUUAAGGAUUGGUUUUUAUAUAAUGUUUCUAAUGUUGAGGUGCUCGUUAAUGAUAUUCAUUGGAAUGAUGUUUUUGCUAUUACCUGUUGGACUUUGUGGAGGUGGAGGAAUGCUAUUAUCUUUCAGAGCAAUGGUGGGUUUUCCAUCGCACUCUAUGUAGUGCGCACUUUGGCAACGGAUCGUGAAUUGGUUGCAAAUCUGUCGCGAAGUCAGUCGUUAAUACAUCACCGUUUGGUCGAAAAGUAAAAACCAAACUCACGGGAAUUAUUAGUGCUAGAAUCAGCGAUAGAUUAUCAAUAGGUUCGUAAUUCCAUCGCUAAUUCUGUCGAAAAUUGGUCGCAAAUCAGUUUGUGAAUAUUUAACUUCUGUCACUUCAACGUUCGUCGCACGGGGUAGCUAAUGCAUCGCACGUUAGUGCCGGUCGCAAUAUGCAGUCACAAUUUAGCAUUUUUUUUUUUUAUAGUGGUGUGUGUAUAUAUAUACAAAGCAUAUAUGCAUACCCUGUACUAUCAUUUGAACUAGAAAAACCUAUAUAUGUAUAUAGGCCGUAUUUACUAGUAAAUCAGAAAAUCUAGUUUUUCGGUUGUUUAUUUCUUUAAUUAUGGAAAUGAAAUUAAAAUUAUUUCGUAUAUAUAUCUAGUUUUUCCAUUUUUUUUCUUAAUUUGCCUGAUUUUUUUGAGGUUGUCGUGGGUUGAAGAAAAGUCAGUUUGUUUUGGGGUUGAUUCUGUUUGGACUUUGUUUUCCCCGUGCUUAGUGGAUGUGGAAGAUUGCACUGUUAGGAGACUGAAAGUAGAGGCAAUUAGUUUUAUGUUAGGGCUGACUGUUACUUUUAUUGUAACACUUGUUAUUUCUCUUAUAAGGUUAAUUUUGGUAUUAUUAGAUUUAUUUUGAUCAAAUUUGUUAUUAUCUUAAUAAAUAUUCAUUUAUGACAUUUAAUUAAAUUUGAAACCUUAUAUCAGACAUUUAUUAUAUUGCCCCUUUCCAAACUGCGAGAGCUUCAGAAGCCACUCCAUUUUGGUACUAAAUUGAAGUUUGUUUUAGAUCUUCGUGAGUUAUGUUUUGGAUUGGGGAAUCUCUUCUUCAUGCUUUGAGAGAUUGUAACUUUGUGAAUAAAACUUGGCAUUGCAUCAAUAAUUUCCCAGGUAAUUGGCAGGCUUUUAAAGAUACUAAUGUGUCUAUUAAGGAGUGGGUUUUUCAGAAUAUUUCCUUUAAAGCUGUUCAGAAUUCUAGCACACAAUGGUCUAUCAUUUUUGUAAUUAAUUGCUGACGUAUUUGGAACUGAAGAAAAGCUAUAGCCUCUGGUUUAGCUCAUAACAUUAUUAAUUAUGCAGCUGAAGUCAUAAAGGCUCAGUCUUUGCUUACGGGAGGUCAUUGUACUAUAACAUCCAAAGCCCAAAAAUGGAUUUCUUGGAUACCUCCUAUAAUGGGAGAUCAAUUCAAGCUAAAUACAGAUGGUUCGAUUAAGAACAAAGAAGCUUUUGAAGGAGGAUUAAUGAGAGAGAGAGUUUGGGUUCAUGGGUGGGAGUUUCAUCUCUCAUAUGGGGACUUUAUUUGAAGGUCUUAAGCUUGCUUGGUCGCUGGAAAAUAAGAAGGCUCAGUGCGGACUGUGAUAAGAUGGUUAAAAGGAAUUCGAAAAUUCAUGGAGGUUUGAGAGCACCGCGGUUCUUUCCAUUAGCAGCGACUCAACAGGGAUUGGAAUUGUCAACUUCUCAUGUGUACCGUGAAGCAUAAUGCUAGUGCGAAUAGACUUGCAGAAUAGCCAAAGGUUACCCACUAUGCUAGUGCGAAUAGACUUCCAGAUUAGCCGAAGGUUACCCACUUGAUGUUAUGUUCUCUCAAGACCUCCAUUGGAACUAGAGAGUGGCUUCUUCGUGAUGCUGUGGGGGUUUCUUACCCAAUUUACUGUAAUUAUUAGGCGGUGGCCUUUGCUUCCCUUCUUUUUUUUAAAAAAAAUAUAAAUUAUCUUUUUAAAAUUUUUUGACAAGAGAAGGAUCCUCAUUAUUCGAACCGAGUGUCACUUAUGGUUGUAGAUGUGUCAAAUGUCACAUUUGUAGAUGGCAAUAAAUUAUUAUUACUAUUUUUUUUUUUUUUUUUGGAAAUAUAAGGGAAGCAAAAUAAAAUUGAAAAUUUUAAUUUUUUUUUAAGAGAAUUAAAAAAAAAAAAAAUUGAUUGGGGGCGGACCACCGUGGUACCCUCUCUUUGUUGUAUACACCAAUCGAUCCAUAAAAGGUUUUUUAAAAUAUAUUACUAUUAAUUUUAUCAUUUUUAGUGAAUAGUCAUAAAUAUUUUCAUUAUAAUUAAAUAUUUAUUUUUAAUUAGUUUGGCGUAUAGAUGAAUUCAUAUACUGAAAAUAGAUAAAUUCUUCUCAUAUAUGAUAUGUGGUUAAAACAAUAAAGAACUUUAGAACAUAAUUAAUUACAUAUUAGGUACAAGACUAUAUUAUCAAGUUCAACUCCUUGGUUUUUGGCCAAAAAUCCAAUUUUUGAAAUUGGAACCACCGGUUUGGAUCCAGUUCGAACUGGAUCUGGAACUGUGCGGAACCAAAACUGGCUAGAAUCGAAAACGGAAAGUUACAGUUCAGUUUUGGUUAUAAGAUUUUUAGAACUGCGAGCCAACGGUUUCAAGUGCCGGCUGAAUUGGAGGUUUUAACAACCUGUUAGAACUACCAAUUCCAACACAAUUUUUUUUUUAUUUUUUCAAAAAUUUUUAUUAAAUCCCAAAAUUAACUCUUCUAAUAACUAUAAACGGCUAUAUAACAACUAGUUUUAAAGGUGUGGAAGUUAAAUUUUUUGGAUUUAUUAUAAAUAUCCCAUUAUUUUCACUCUCUUCACACUAAAUUAUUUCUCUCUACUCUCGAAUCUCUCUAAGCUCUCCAAUUUAUAACUAUUGACCAAAUUAUUGUCAAAUAAUUUCUCCAAUCUCUAAUAAAGUUUAAGCCUUUUUUUUUUAAAAAAAAAUUCUCUUAAAGUUAUUUUAAAAAUAUUUCAUAAAUAUUUAAAUUUUGAACAAAAAAUGUUUCUCAAUUAUUUUGAUUUUAAAAUUAUGCAAACCGACUAAAAAACUAGUUGGAGAACCGUUCGAUACUAUCAAUUUUUGAACAGUUAGGGAACCGUAACCGAAAUCACAAUCGUAACUUGUCUGUUCCAAACCAUAACCAGAACCAUCAAUUUUCUAUUCGAUUCUGAUUUUACAUUUUUGGAAAUGGAACCGGCAGUUUCGAAAUCGUGGCCACCUCUCAGUCCAAGUAUCGCUUACAAAAUUUUCGCAUGAGGAAUUUCCUAGACGCACAAGUAAAGUUCCAAAUGGAUUUUUUCACAGUGAAUCAAUUCAAUUAACUUGUUCUUUGACAUCCUUGUAUUGUCCAAGUGCCACUAACAUAUAUACUAUUCUAUCUGGAUUGUCAAUGCACUAUCCUGAUGAUCCUAUGAUUAAAAUAAUCUAGAAUAAUGUUAUAUGUAAUAAGAUUUUCAUCAUUCUGAUCAACAUCAUAGUUUAAUUUAUAUAAUAAUUAUUAUAAGGAUUUAUAAAUGUAGAUAUAAUUAAUAAUUAAACUAAUAGAUAAAGAAUGCCAAAUAUAGUAUUAAUAUCAAAUGCUAAAGUGUUAUUAUGUUCAAAAAUCAAAACGAAUUGAUUCUUGAGCACAACACUAACACAAACUCUUGUCAUUCUAUACAAAUUAUAAGAAUUGAUUCUGUCAAUAUCAUAUGCGCAAUUGAUUAAAGUUAAAGCAGUAUUAAAACUUCCCUUAACCAAUUUAAAUACACAAACUGAAUAUGUUGCUUUUUAAAAUAAAUGAACCACUUAGGCUUAGUAUAAUAUUUUAAUUCUAACUCAGACCGUGAAUGUACCAUUUUUUCAUGGACAGCCCUCCCUUUUGAAUCAAAUCUACUGAAUUAGUGAUAACUUUUAUGAUAGAAAAGAUUUAAAAUUGACACAUCUCACUUAUAGGGAGUAAAAAUGUUUUUAUGCAUAUUGAAAAUAUUUUUAGAUUAAUAUAUAUAUAUAUAUAUAUUGCUAAUGACAAAUAAUAAUUUUUUGAAUAGUUUGUAACCUUAAGGUGCAUUUCAUAUGUAUCAACACAUAUACAAAAUAUUAGAUUCUAUUCUCUUUCGAUAAUUAAAAUUCCAAAAAUGAAGAAAUUAUAUUCUUAACGCUGGAUUGUACAUUGAAUGGAAUAAUAUUCUUUAGCUUUUAUUAAUAAUAUUAAAAAUAUAAAAUUAUUAAAAAAUUUAUAGAAUGAAAAAAAUAUAUAAUCUUUAAACUUAAAAUUAUCUUCUAAACUAUUUAUUAAUAAACAUCACUAUAGAAUUAUUAGUUUUCAAGUUAUUUAUCAUCUACACUAAUAUUAUAUGUUCAAGAACAACUAAUGAUAAAAAUAUGCAAAUAUAAAUUAAGGGAAAUUAUAAUUGUACAGCUACAUAUUCUGUGGAAAAAAAAAACUAUUUAACCUUUUUAUUUUUAAUAAUAAACUGUCAUACUCUUAUAUUUUGCGUCUGUUACACUUUUUGCCUCUUUUAUCCAUCUGAACGUAUAUCGGCUAAAGAGAAAAAUUAAAUUUGGAUCCAAAAUAUCCCUGAGAGAGUAGCUUAUGUGGCUCCCACAGCUGAACGUAACCAAUUUGAUAGUUUGAUAAACUAAAAACGACGCUACAUCUUCUCCUUCACCUCACAUAUUCAAAGCUCAUUUGUUCCUAACUCAUCUUCCUCUUGCCAAAGCUCAGUUAUACCUGUCACCACCACCAUCACCCAAUACAUACGAGAAAGGUAAUAGAAUAUCUCCAAAGGGUCACAGUCAAGCAAUUACAGGAAAAUGAAAAACAAAUAAUUAACAAAAAAAAAAAAAAAUCCGAAUUUCCACCUUUAUCAUUUCUAUAUUCUGGAAUUUCUGAGUAACCAAACAAAACAAACAAGAAAAUUUCAGACACUACAUAUAAAAAUACAUAUAGUAGAGAUAUAUACAAACAAAUGCAUCAAAGUUUCAUUGAAAUAAUGGACAGGGCGAAAUAAAAUUUGAGCUGAUAUGAUAUGAUUUGUAUAAUUAUAAAGCAAGUUUAUAUUUGCCAAAACAGAAGACGAAGGAGAGAGGUGGGAAAGAAAGGAAUCAAAAAAUAUUUAUUUGACUUACAAUGCAACUGAUUUCUUCUCCAAGUACUACAGCAGCACAAGUAUCAAUUGGGUCUUCACUAUCACAAAAUAUCAUCUCCCAUAUGCCAUUGGAACACUCUGACCAGAUUUUCUUCAUUUACAAGUAUCCAAACACCUCAUCCUUUUUUCAAGGGACCUAAGUCAUUUAAAUUCAGUAUAACCCUUGUUGGUAUUUAACCUAUAUAUUUAACUGAAAAAUUAAGUUCAUUUUUAAAAACAUUUAUUAUAAUUAAUUUAAUAAUAUUAAUUUAAUUAUGCCAAAUUAUGUAUUGAUUACAAAUAUGAUGAAGAACCCAAAUAUCAGCACCAUCAAAAGAACAUUCAAAUAUAUCAAAUCCAUCUUUUUUUUUUUAUCUUUUAAGAAAUGUGUGCAAGCUAAUUAAAGACUUAUGGAUAGAGAAUUAUUCCUUGGUAAAAAAAAAAAAAAAAAGAAAUAAAAAGAAAACAAUAUAGUUUGGAUGUUACUCUUGGUAGUGGACACCAUUAUACUUUUCUUAGUUUAUAAAUCGCUUGAACAUGCUUCGUCAUAUUUACAUUUAGAACAAAACAAAUCAAAAUUAAAAGUUAUAUAAUUCUUGAUGACUUGAUCUUUGUUCGUUUUAUUAAUUUUCCCCUCUAUCAGAUAAAUAUAUUUUUCAGUAUUCCAAGAGAACUGAUACUGGUGAAAAAUGCUGAUGAAAUUGCGUAACUUAUUGCAUGAGUUGAAGCCAUUUUUGCUAAUGGGGGUGGUUUAGUUCUCCUUUUCUUGUAUUAAUGUCUUCUACAAAUUGGCAUCCUAUGAUGGUAUGAACUUGAGGGUUCUUAUUGCUUACAGAUUCAUUUUUGCUUCUGCUUUCUUGAUUCCUCUUGCUCUGAUAUUUGAGAGGUCUGUCUCCUUAUGGUUUUUUUUUUUUUUUUUAAUUUCAAUUGUGCAAUAUGAAAAUAAGAAUCUAUUCCAUGUUCUAAUUAGUAAUUUCUCGAUUUUGUUUUACAGGAAGAGAAGGCCUAAACUUACUAAAACUAUACUCUUUCAAGCAUUUCUUUGUGGGUUCUUUGGGUAAGUGUAUAUAUACUUAAUUGUUUAUGAGUUAUAUAUAAUUAUGACAUUAACAUUUUAAUUUGCAGAGGAUCAUUGACUCAAAAUUUGUAAGCUUAAAGUUGUUGGGAUUAUAACUGAUCCCGAGUGGGGCCCGAAAAAAAUGCUCCAAUAAUUACGUAUUGGAUAUUAACGACCAAAUUCACCAGAAAUAAUAACCACGGUAAAAAUUAAAUAAUUACCAUAAAUGCCAGAUAAAAAUAAAGAUACUGAGAUUUACGUGGUUCACCCUUCAACUGUUAUGGAUUACAUCCACGGGACAAAAACUCCGAAUAAUUUUUCCACUAAAAAUAGUAGGUACAAAAGAGAUUUACAAAAAUAGUGGUACUCUAAGUAUUUCCCAAAAACACCCAAAAAAAUUAUAAUCCUAACUAUUUUCUCUCUUUUUCAAUUUUAGGAACCCUUUCCUAAAAUCUUCUACACGUAACACUUAUUGGUUUUUUGUUUGUGUUGUGUGUGUUAAAAUAAACUUCGUCUACCUCUUUUUAUAGGCAGUUCAGUGAAUGAGUCGUGUAUAACUCAUUCACGUCUUUAUACUUUGUCAAAGAAAGUUGCCAACUUUUCUUCUUUUUCAAAUAACACUUUUUUUUUUCCAAAGCGGGUGGAUCCCACAUGUCGGAGGGACCCAUAACAAUUCUCCCCCUCCCGACUACAUGGUGGGACUCUCCAUUCCUGCCGCUUUAACACAUAGUUUGAACUUCUCCUUCAGAACGACCUUUGUCAAUAUAUCCGCAGCAUUUCUGUCUGUGUGAAUUUUUUGCAACUGGAACUGCUUCUCUUCAACGGCAACUCUAAGCCAAUGAUAUCUUACAUCAAUGUGCUUUGCUCGUGCAUGAUACAUAGUAUUUUUGCUCAUGUCUAACGCGCUUUGACUAUCACAGUAAACUAUAUAUUCUUCCUGCUGCACACCCAAUUCUUGAAAGAAUCGCUUUAACCAAAGCAUUUCCUUUCCUCCUUCCGUAGCUGCAACAUACUCUGCUUCGGUCAUUGAUAAUGAAACACAUUUUUGUAAUCUUAAUUGCCAUGAAAUAGCUCCUCCUGAGAAUGUAAAUAAGUAUCCUGAUGUAGAUUUUCUUUCAUCAAGAUCACCGGCCAUAUCUGCAUCUGUGUAACCAACAAGUGCAGCCUUUUCACCUCCAAAAGUUAAACAUAACUUUGAAGUUCCUCUCAGGUAUCUGAAGAUCCACUUCACUGCUUCCCAAUGUGUCUUCUGGGAAUUUGACAGUUCACAAGGCCAAUUGCAUGAGCGAUAUCUGGUUUUGUACACACCAUUGUGUACAUCAAACUUCCGACCGCUGAAGAAUAUGGAGUAUUUGGCAUAUCUCCUUUUUUCUUCCUCUGUUGAUGGGUAGGAUUUCUUACUCAACUUGAAGUGAGCAGCAAGCGGAGUGCUAACUAGUUUAUCAUUCUUCAUAUUAAACCUCUCUAGAACUCGUUCAAUAUAUUUUUCCUUCGAUAACCAUAACCUGUAGGACUUUUUGUCUCAGAUAAUCUCCAUUCUGAGAAUUCGCCUUGUUAAUCCAAAAUCCUUCAUGUCAAAUGCUUUUGACAAAUCUCUGUUGAACUUGCUAAUCAUAUGUGCAUCUGGUCCAANNNNNNNNNNNNNNNNNNNNNNNNNNNNNNNNNNNNNNNNNNNNNNNNNNNNNNNNNNNNNNNNNNNNNNNNNNNNNNNNNNNNNNNNNNNNNNNNNNNNNNNNNNNNNNNNNNNNNNNNNNNNNNNNNNNNNNNNNNNNNNNNNNNNNNNNNNNNNNNNNNNNNNNNNNNNNNNNNNNNNNNNNNNNNNNNNNNNNNNNNNNNNNNNNNNNNNNNNNNNNNNNNNNNNNNNNNNNNNNNNNNNNNNNNNNNNNNNNNNNNNNNNNNNNNNNNNNNNNNNNNNNNNNNNNNNNNNNNNNNNNNNNNNNNNNNNNNNNNNNNNNNNNNNNNNNNNNNNNNNNNNNNNNNNNNNNNNNNNNNNNNNNNNNNNNNNNNNUUUGUAUCUCACUAGGUUGCCAUCAUCUUUCUUCAGUUUGUACACCCAUUUGUUCUUGAGUGUUCUCUUCCCUUUUGGAAGUUUCACCAGCUCAUACGUGUCAUUCUUUUUCAAAGAAUUCAUAUCCUUUUGCAUGGCCUUUGUCCAGCAAUCUUUAUCUUUGCAAGAUUGCACAUUUUGGAAGCUCUUUGGCUCUCCCUCAUUAGUAAUCAAAAUGUAAUCAGAACUAGGGUACCUUGUAGAUGGUAAGCAUUCUCUGGUUGACCAUCUUAACUGAGGUUCAACUCUUUCUGGUGGAAUGGGGUUCUCUGGCUCCCCCUGCUCAACACCCUCUGCAUCACUGUUAUCAUCUACAAUCGUCUCUUGAUUCCCCACGACUGGCUCUUCUUCUUCCCGUUCUAAUUCUGGCACUCCUCCUCUCGUGACAUCAUCUGUAGGAAUGCUUCCUGGUGUAAUAUCAACAACACCAUCACUUGUGGAUUCUUCACAAGUUGUAUCUGCCACGAUCUCAUUCUCAUGGAAUACUACGUCUCGGCUCCGGACAACUUUCUNNNNNNNNNNNNNNNNNNNNNNNNNNNNNNNNNNNNNNNNNNNNNNNNNNNNNNNNNNNNNNNAAGGAACUGACUUGUCAUCAAGCUUUGAUCUCUACUCCUUCGGAACAUGGAUAAAUGCCUUGCAGCUAAAUACCCUCAGGUGAGAGUAUGAAAUAUUUCUACCUGUCCAGACCUUCUCCGGGAUAUCAAAAUCCAAUGGUGCUGAAGGUAGUCGGUUGAUUAGGUAGAAAGUAGUAUUGACAGUUUCUCCCCAAAAUGGCUUAGGUAAGUUAGCCAUUUCCACUCAACAAUGGUGCAAUUCAUCCAUUCAGCAAAGCCGUUGAGUUGAGGCAUACCAGGUACUGUCUUUUCAUGCUUGAUACCAUGCUGACUACAAUAAUCUCUUAACUCCUUGAGAUAUAUUCGCCACCAUUAUCUGUGCGCAAACAAUUCAAUGCCACUCCAUCUCUGUUUCCACCAUCGCAUGGAAUUGCUGAAAGUGCUUGAAUACUUGGUCUUUUGUGCGCAACAAAUAUAUCCAUGUUUUUCGUGAGAAAUCAUCAAUGAAGGUUAGAAAAUAUUUACUUCCUCCAAGUGAUUCUACUUCCAUGGGCCCACAUAUGUCAGAGUGUACCAACUCCAACUUGUUGUCUCUCCUUCUAGAGCUUUUCAAAAAUGAGACCCGAUGUUGCUUCCCAAAUAAACAAUGAUCACAAGGGUUUAUUUUACCUUUGGCUAAUGGGAUGAGGGAAUUCUUAGCCAACAUAUUCAACCCUUUCUCACUAAUGUGCGCCAGCCGCCAAUGCCACAAAUUUGGUGAAGCAUCAUCUGCAACUGUAUUCAGUUGAGCCGCACAUAUUGUUGCGUGCGUCCUAUACAGCGAGCAACAUAAUUUUCCUCUCGCCACCACCAAAGACGCUUUGGUGAGUUUCCAAUUACCGUCACCUGUAUGAUGGUGAUAGCCUUCCUUGUCCAGUACAGUGACAAACAACAGGUUCAACCGAAGAUCGGGAAUAUGUCUCACAUUUUUAAGUAUUAAUGUGCAUCCGACACUUGUCUUUAUGCAGACAUCACUGAUUCCCACCAUUUACGAGACACUAUUAUUUUCCAUUCUAGUAGUGCCAAAAUCUCCUGCUUUAUAAGUGGAAAAGUAUUCCCUUUUUGGAACACAGUGGUAUGAAGCACCGGAGUCUACUAUCCACUCGGUAUCUACAUCUCCAACAUGACAGCAAUCUGCAUCAUGAGUGACUAAAGUCACCUCACCAUCUUCUCCUGAGACUAGUAGAUGUAUUUCUGUCAUUCUCCUAUCUUCGGUUUGCAUUAUCCUGUUUGAGUAACCGACAAUUUCUUUUGAGAUCACCCUCCUUGCCGCAAUGGUAACACUUUCUCAUUUCUCUGGACUUGGAUCUACCACCUGACUUUUCAUGCCUUGGACCUCUACUCUUGCUCCGGCCCCUAUUCUCUGUGACAAGGGCUUGUGAACUGGUACUGGCAACGUCUCUUCUUCUUAGCUCUUCAUUGAGUAGUCUAUUCUUUACCACAGACAUUGUUACCACACCAUUUGGAGCUGAGUUACUUAAUGAUACCACAAGAGUAUCUCAACUAUCCGUUAGAGAUCCCAAUAGUAGGCAUGCUUGCAUCUCAUCAUCUAAGGACAUACCGCUAACUGCUAACUCAGUUACGAGUCCUUCAAAAUCAUUCAGGUUUUGUGUAAUUGAUCGUCCCUUUGACAGCUUCAAGUUCAUGACUUUACGAAUCAUGAAGACUUUUCCUUGAGCAUUCGUAGCCUCGUACAUAUUCUUUAAUUUCUUCCAGAGAACUUGGGGAUCUUUUUCAUUGCUCAUGUGGUUGUAUAGGCUAGCAUCUAUCCAUUAGCGUAUUGCACCCAAUGUCUUCUUUUUUAAUUUGACCCACUGCCUUUCUUUCAUUUCUUCUGGCUUUGCACUGUCACCUUCAAUUGGAUCGUAUAGAUCUUUGCAAUUGAAGUAGUCCUCUAUUAUGGAUUUCCACAUUGAAUAAUUCGAAUCCGUCAAUUUGAUCAUUGCCCCGUGGUUAGCCAUGUCGAAUUCUGAAUCUGACGAAAUUUUACUAUUCACGAAAUUCACUAUUCAUAUGAAUAGUAGCUUUAUAGAAAAUUGACAGAAUUUACCAACCAAGCUCUAAUACCAAUUGUUGGGAUUAUAACUGAUCCCGAGUGGGGCUCUCGAAAAAUGCUCCAACAAUUACGUAUUGGAUAUUAACGAUCGAAUUCACCAAAAAUAAUAACCACGGUAAAAAUUAAAUAAUUACCGUAAAUGCCAGAUAAAAAUAAGGACACCGAGAUUUACGUGGUUCACCCUUUAAGUGUUGUAGGUUACGUCCACGGGACAAAAACUUCGAAUAAUUCUUCCACUAAAAAUAGUAGGUACAAAAGAGAUUUACAAAAAUAGUGGUACUCUAAGUAUUUCCCAAAAACACCCUAAAAAUUAUAAUCCUUGCUAUUUUCUCUCUUUCCCAAUUUUAGGAACCCUUUCCUAAAAUCUUCUACACGUAACACUUAUUGGUUUUUUGUUUGUGUUGUGUGUGUUUAAAUGAACUUCGUCUUCCUCUUUUAUAAGCAGUUCAGUGAAUGAGUCGUGUAUAACUCAUUCACGUCUUUAUACUUUGUCACAGAAAAUUGCCAACUUUUCUUCUUUUUCAAAUAACACGUUUUUCUUUUCUUUUUUUUUUCAAAGCUGGUGGGUCCCAUAUGUCGGGGGACCCACAACAAAAGUAUGGUGUUUACAUCUGCAACAUUUGCUUCUGCUAUGAAUAAUCUUAUACCAGAUGACAGCUUAUUUCGCAAGUGUACGAAUCGCUACAAGUAAUAUAUGAUGAGUAAGAUAUCGUUCCCACGAGGAUUGUAUUCCAAGUACCACAAUUAUGUUAUCUCGUUAUUAUUUAAACGAUAAUUGGGAAAAUUGUUUUAUAAAUGUAAAAUAAGCAAGAGUCAAGUAAACAAAAUUUGAUUAAAAGUAAUCAAGGAAUUGAAACUACUAGAGGUUUUGAUUUCACUUAAUCCUAUCCAAUUUAUUUCAUUAGUUCAUUGAUCAAUUUGAUUAUUCAAGUAGGGGAAACAACUAUUGAAUCGCUAAUAAGCUCUUCCGAUGUAUUGCUAACUAUUUUAAUUCCAUUUAAUUACCUAUCUUCCAAUAGCGCAAUCAAAUAUGAAUCAAAUCAUUAAGUUAUAUAGUUGUUUAUGAAUUCAUAAUUUAGGGUUGAUAAAUCAUAAAAACCCCCCAUGAGUCAAACCAUAUAGCUUCCGCAUCAAGUUAUUAUUCUCAUGUGUUUUAUUAAUCUUUUCAUAUCAAAGAUCCUUCUUCCGAUAGUGAUAAUUGAAAUAAAUCAAUCCAGGGGAAAACUCUGCCUGGAAGCAUUGAGUUCAUCAAUAAAUCAUAACUUGAAUAAGGAAAAAUAAAUCUAAUUGCAUAAAUUGGAAAAGAGAUUAAGCUACAUGAAACCCCUAGAAAUUGGAAAAGACAUUAAGCUACAUGAAACCCCUAGUAUAAGAAUUUAGUUAGACAUGACACUUAAAUAAAACUCAAUAGUGCUUGAUAAGUAUUUCAUAAUCAAUAAGAAUAAUGAAAGAAAUAAACAAGAUUAUGAGUUUAGAAAUAAGAACUAGUAAUAACUUGCUUGGAUGGCUUCCUUGAACCUUUUGCACAACUCUUGAAUACUUAACUUCUAAAGAAGGAUAAAACUAUAUACAAAGCUAUAAAAUGAGAGAAAGAAGAAGAAUAUGGAGUGGAGUGUAGUGUAAUGUGUGUGAUGUGUUGGAAUGGCUUCUUCUUUUCUUUAUAUAGACUUCUUUGAGGGAGCAAUCCACAUGCUUUAAUGAAUAAAGUCCUAUUUUGUUAGUGUUGACGAGUGUUUUUGUGCCCCCGCCUGAUCUAAUGAUGAUACGGGGAUGUGGAACGAAAGGUUAGUGCUAUCUAGAAGUCUUUAAUCCAAGGAUUUAAAUUAAACCAAUUUUAAGUGUCUGACUGGGUCAGAGUUGCAUCACGCAGCUGUGAAGGUGCGUGACGGCACUAUAGUUGCGUCAUGCAGCUCUAUUGAAACUCAGAUUUGCAUGUCGUCGUCAAGAAUGACGACAUGCCGUUUUUUAUGCUAAACGACACGUAGUUGUGGUACGACAAGUGAGCUGCAUCACGCGUCUGACUAGUUCCGUCACGCAGCUAAUGGCUACGUGACGCAACUAUGCUCUGUGCCCUACUUCUAUAAAUAGAUCUUUUAAUUCACGUUUGAAAGGAUUUUGAACAACUUUGGCAAACGAUUCUAAAAACCCUAAAACACACCUUGCGACCACAUUCUCCUCCAGAAGCUCUUUUGAGUUCGUUUGAAGGAGAAUUACCAUUAGAGAUCAAUUUUAGGUGAAUUAAACCAAAAAAAGAGAGAAAAUCAAGAGAGAAAAGAGUGAAUAAUUAAAUCCUUGGUGACGAAGCUGCUGGAUCGCUUUAACCAUCGUUCGUUAAGCCGUUUACAAUCCUCAAUCUGAGGAUUAGGUAAUUCCUUUACACUUUUUGUGUUUUUAUUCAUUGAUUAUUUAUUUUAUUAUUGUUUUAGUAGUUUAAUCUUAAUUGAAUUAUAUUCUGUUCGUUAUAUUUAAAUAAAAAACGCUUUAAACAAAUAAUUUAAAAAUAGAGUUCGGACCAGAACAGUUGCGUCACGCAGCCAGUAGAUCCGUAACGGAGCUGGCAGUUGCGUGACGAAACUGUUCAUGUCCAAAAUUUCGUUCCUUUACCCAGAAUAGCUGCGUCACGCAGAUAUCAGCUGCGUGACCCAACUAUUCUAGAGUUCCAGAAACAAUUUUUCAUUCUUUCGAAAAAAUAAUAAUUUUUGUGCAAAAAUAAAAUUUAAUUUUUCCGAUAAAUCCGAAAAUGGCCAAUUAUGAACAGAUUGCAAUUUAAUUAAGUUUAGAAUAUUAAAAUAUAAUUAUGCAUGAUUUUUGGGUUUUCGAUUUUUGGGGUUCGAAUUUUUAUUCGGCUAGAAUGUAUUUUUAGGUUGGUUUGUAGCCCGCCUUGAACCAUAAGGUAAGAGCAUGUCUUUUAUUUAUUUUUAUUUAACCGCUUUGGUUUGGAUGGUUUGGAUGGUUUGGAUGAUUUGAAUGAUUUGAAUGAUUAUGGAUGCAAUAAUUGAAUUUGAUUGGGACGAUUAAUUAAUUUUUCAUAUAAGAACUCGGUUCGAUUCAUUCNNNNNNNNNNNNNNNNNNNNNNNNNNNNNNNNNNNNNNNNNNNNNNNNNNNNNNNNNNNNNNNNNNNNNNNNNNNNNNNNNNNNNNNNNNNNNNNNNNNNNNNNNNNNNNNNNNNNNNNNNNNNNNNNNNNNNNNNNNNNNNNNNNNNNNNNNNNNNNNNNNNNGAAAUGAUUUGGCCUUUAAUAAAAUUGGGUUUAAAAUGGAGUCAUUUUUAUAAAAUAAAAUUGGAAACGGUCCCAUUGCCGAAAUAAUGGGUGGCGACUCAAAAAUGUUUUAUAAGACCGAUUUAUCGGCAUCGUAUCCAAUAAAAUGUUUUGUCACCACUGUUCAAAAUAAGAUCACUUUCCAUCAAAAAUGAAAAAGCGACAGUUUUUCGGAUCGCUCGGGGGCGGUGCGAAAACAGUUAGGUGGAAAAGCUCCAAAUCAAGCCAUAAAUUUUUCUCAAUUAUGGCUUUCCAUGUGCAUAUGUUUGAAGCUUGACUGGCAUGUGAAGAAAGUAUCCAAAGUGAGCUGUGAAAAUGGUAGGAAUUAGUUGGCAACUUUUGACUCAAUUCAGGAUCCUUUGCUUGGCACGGGCGUGCUGCCUGGCAUGGUCUGGGGUGUGCCAGGCUCUAGAAGUCUAGAGGUUUCAACACGGGCCGUGCUGUCUAGCACGCUUGAGAAGGAUCUUUUGGCACGGCCGUGCACCAUAGCACGGCCUGGGGUGUGCUAGGCUCUGGAAGUCUGGCGCAGUUGUAGCACGGGCGUGCUUCCGCGGCACGGGUCAGGAUUGCAUCUUCAAUGCGGGCACGGGCGUGCGCAUUAGCACGGGUUGAGGCGUGCGCGCCUCUGGAAGUCCAAGGCAAAUGUGGCACGGGCGUGCGGCUCAACAUGGUCUGGGGUGUGCGCGCGUCUUUCGUCUGCUUGUUUUGCCUUGUAUUUAGUACGGGCGUGCUGAUUAGCACGGGCUUGAGCGUGCUAAUUUAUAUUGUGCCUCAUUUGUGUCCUUUUCUUGCAAAACCCUACAAAUUUAAAUCAAGUGAGUUGUGUUUCAAGGAAGCUUUCAAGUAAAAAUAUAACAAUAUUACAUAAAAACUAAUUUAGAUGAAUUAAAAAUACUAGAAAUCUUAGUAAACAUUACAAUAAAAACACUAUCAAAAUUAACACUAUCAAAAUUUCCCAAACUUAAACUAUUGCUUGUCCUCAAGCAACAAAACUAAAAUGCUAACUUGAAAAAUGGUUAGGAAUAAUUAUUCACAAGUUUAAUAAAUAUCCAAAUUAUUAACAUAAGAAUAAAUUAUGUGUUUAUUAUGUCAAUUAUUUUCUAGCCAAAAUUUUAACUUUCAAUAGAACAUAUUCUCUUUAUUAAACAUAAGUUAACAAGAUUUUUAUCAUCAAUCUUUAUUUAAUUUUAUGAUAAUUAGAAUAUGAAUUUACAAAAAUCAUUUUAACCUUAAAUAGAAUAUAAUUGUAACACUCCCAUAGGCAAUAUAAGUCAUCCCUCCUCCACAAUUGAAAUGCUUACAAUUUUGAAAGAUCAAAAGGUCUUUAUUUAGGUUGUAAUGGGGUUUUAGGGUUAAAACUUUGGCUAAAGAAGGAAAAGUAAUGUGAAUAAGAAAAAUGCAGCAAAUGCUUCUUAUUAGGAUUUUGUAUUUAUAUUAAAACCAAUUUGUAUUUGUAAAGGGAGAUUUAAUUUAAGCUCCUUACUAGGUCAAACUUUAGAGGUAAUUUUGGGCAAGGUUUCUUUACAAUAUCCUUGAAUACUUCUUUCUUGCUAAAGUUCCCCAAUCUUGAAUUUUUGACUAAUUUCUUUUCUUAUGGGGUAUUCCUCUUUUUCUCUUUUGCUAGUAUUAAUAGAAUUUUCUCCACUUGUUGCUAUGUUUUAAUAAAAUCAAAAUCCUUCAAUUACACAUUGUUGCAUUCAGGGUGCAGAAUUGAUUUGGUUUAGUGGCUAGGUUAAAAUAGAGGUGAACAAUAAAAAUAUGAUAUAGGCUUCAAAUUGGUUGCAAUGGUCAUACUUUCUUAGGUGGUCUAAGUUAGAUAUGAGGUUUUUAUCAAAGAAUGCCUAAAUCAUUUCUUUCUAAUUGUAAGCACAAAUUUUUGUCUUGAAGAGAAUACUGAUUUGUUCUAGGAGCGCUAAGGUUAAAUAAGUUUUUAUGAAAAACAUACCUAUUUAUCAUAAAAUUUUAACAAAGUUAAUGUUUAUAAUCUUAGAAACAAAUGGUUAAAUCAAAGAAAUGUUAAGUUAAAAAUUUGAAUUUUGGUUAAAAGCAAUUAACUUUAGAAAAAUAAUUAAUUUAAUCAGAGGAUAAUGAAUUGAAGAUAAAUUUUAAAUUUGAUCACAAUUAUUCCAACCUUAUUUUGUUUACUAAAAUAAAACAAAAAUCUUGAGAAUUUUAUAGUUUAGAUAAAAUGUCCUCCCCCAACUUAAUUAAGCACAUUGUCCUCAAUGAGCUAUAUGCAUUUCCCCAAACUUAUGAAAUUAUGGAAACUUCAAUAAAAGAAUAAGAAGUGGAGAAAAAUACCAUCAUCGAUUUGAGACAAGAUAAGGAAGUUGGGCGGUGAAGUGCAUCCAAGCUAUAGAGUUAGAAAUAUACUGAAAAAAAUCCAAAAUAUUGAAACUGAAAAAUAACUGAAAUCCCAAGUAUGUAAACUGAAACUAACUGAAAUCCAAAGUAUGUAAAUGUUCAACACACAGAAAAAUAAGAAGGAAUAACCAAAAUAAUGUGAAAGCCAUCAAGCUUCUGGUGGUGGAGGUGGAGGAGGCUGCAGCAACUGAAUCACAGUCUGAAGUUGAGCGGAGAGCCCUUGGUAUUGACCCUGCAGAGUGUAUAGACGGGAGUCGAGGCUGUCGUGCAUGAUCUCGAUCGACUGGAAUCGGUCAGCAAUCAUCGAUUCCAUGCCAGUAAGCCGAGUGUCGAAUACGUCCAUUCGGGAUAACAUUCGGGCAACCACCUCAUCAUUGGACACGGUGGAAGUGCCCUGAAAUGAAGGUCCAGCUCCAGAAGUACCUGCACUAGAAACACCAAAACCAGGGAAAGGAGGUGGAAUAUCCUCCUCUGUGUUAGCGCCACCGGCAUCCUGAGGCUCUUCAUCACCUUGGGCACCCAUCAAACGGUAAGAGUCCCCGACUUUUUCCACUAUUUUCAUGUGAGUCAUCAUAUCUAUAUCUAACCUGAUUCCUCUCCCUCCGCCAAUACUAUCAUAAAUUGGCCUAGCCGGAUUCCACACCCUUAAGUAGGUAGCAAUGCGUGUGACAAAACUCCCUAUUAUGAUGGCCCCCUUAUCUGCCCUUGCCAAUCGAGCCCAUUUUUGACACAACCAAUAACCGACAUUCAGCAAAACUCCUUGGUUAAUGGCCCAUAAAAAAUAAAGUUCAUUGCAUCCCAAAACUCCAUCACCCUCGCUUAUACCAAAAAUGGUAUUAACUAGAAAUUUAUGUAUAUACCUAAAAGCAGGACUUUUUAAUUUGGAUGCCUUAGAGACCCUAGGAUUAUAAUUUCCUUCACCCGUGAACUCAUUCCACCUAGUUGAAUCAAAAGAAUCUGUAGGGAGUUGUGUAAGCGCAUUUUCGGUGGGAAAACAAAAAAUGUGACUAACUUCAUCUAUUGAAAGUCUAAAAUCUCUCCCAAGUAAUCUAAAUUGAAUAUUAUCCCGAAAACAUCCAGUUGGAAAUUUAAUAGUUGAGGAAUAUGAACUUAAAAAUUCCAAAGUUAAAGGAGCAUACACAGGGUCUUUCAUCUCUAUAAAAUUUUCCCACCCCACACGCCUAAGUGGUUCUAUCACAGCAUUCCUAAGCCCAACUUGCGACAAAACAUUCUCAUCUAUAAAUUUAUUAGGCUAAAUAGGGCGUGAUGAGAGUUUAUGAUACCUUUCCAGUUGCUCGGAAGAACCCGUCUCAAAUGGAGGAAGUGGUGGACUGUCAGAUGGUGGAGAUGCAGUGGAGGAUCGAGAGGUUGAGCGGCGUCCAGCUGCUACAGAUGAAGCAGGCCUGCUGCGUUUGUACCUUGGAGGCAUGAUGAUGAUAAAUAUUGAAGAAAAAUUGAAGUUUUGAUGCCUUUUUAUGAGAGAAAACGAGAGAAAAUGAGAGAAAAUGGGGCUGGCGGCUAGGGCGUGCGCUUUAGGAUGAAACAGGAUUAGGGCGUGCUUUUUAAAUAGAUUAUCGGGCACGGUCUGGGCCCCGUGCGCCUUUGUCCCUCUAGGUGAUAACGGGCAUGGGCGUGCGGCGGACACGGGCUGGGGCGUGCGGCUCUCUGGAAGUCCAGGUGAAAGCGAGCACGGGCGUGCGCCUUAGCACGGUCUGGAGCGUGUGCGCAUCUUUCCUGCAGGUGAAAACAUGACUUACCUGGCACGGGCGUGCAGAGCAGCACGGGUUAGGGCGUGCAAGCCUCUGGAAGUCCAAGUGACAACGGGCACGGGCGUGCUGGAUGGCACGGUCCAGGGCGUGCACACGUUUUCCUGCAGGAAAAAUAUCACUUACCUCGCACGGGUGUGCAGAUUGGCACAGCUAGGGCGUGCUAAUGCGCACGGUCUGGAGUGUGCUAGCCUCUGGCUCCCAAUUUCCAAGUUUCUCUUUGAAGCACGGCCAUGCUAAUUGGCACGGCCAGGGCGUGCUACAUUUAGAACUUUUUGUUAUUCCUGAAAGAUUAAACAAACAAAUAAUAAAAUUGAAAUACAAAUGGGUUAUCUCCCAUAAGCGCUUUUGUUUAACGGCGUUAGGCUCGACGUACUUAACCCGGUUUGAUUUAAACCAGAUGGAUGGUAUUUUUGACUGGAUCAAAGUUAUUGUUUUGAUAAACUUUCAGGCGUUGAGCAUUAACUUUGAAGCUUCGGUCACCAUCCAUUAUUUCAACAGCCCCAUGUGGAAAGAUUUCCUUGAUUGUAAAUGGACCAGACCAUCUAGAGCGUAACUUACCAGGAAAAAGACGGAGUCUGGAGUUAUAGAGCAACACUUGUUGUCCUACCUUUAGAUUCCUCAAAAUGAUGUGCUUAUCAUGCCAUUGUUUGGUUCGGUCUUUAUAUAUUUUGGCAUUUUCAUACGCAUGGAGGCGCAUUUCAUCCAUCAUAUUUAGUUGAAGAAGCCGUUUCAGACCACUUUCCUUAGUGUUGAAAUUUAAAAAUUGGAUGGCACAAAAUGCUUUAUGUUCUAAUUAAACAGGAAGGUGACAAGCCUUACCAUAGACCAUACGAUAUGGAGACAUACCAAUUGGUGUCUUGAAUGCAGUCCUAUAGGCCCAUAGAGCAUCAUCAAGUUUCUUGGACCAGUCUUUUCUAGAUUGUCCAACAGUGGUCUCCAGAAUCUUUUUAAUUUCUCUAUUGGUAAUUUCUACUUGACCGCUUAUUUGAGGAUGAUAUGGGGUUCCUACACGAUGAGUAACACCAUAUUUUGAAAGGAGGGAAUCUAAGUAUUUGUUGCAGAAAUGCUUACCCCCGUUAGUGAUUAUUGCUCUAGGGGUGCCAUGACGUGUGAAAAUGUAUUUCUUGAUAAAGUUUAUCACACUUUUGGCUUCAUUGUUCGGAAGGGCAAUAGCUUCAGCCCAUUUUGACACAUAAUCCACUGCUACCAGGAUGUAUUGGUUGGAGUAAGAUGAGGGAAAAGGUCCCAUGAAAUCUAAACCCCAAACAUCAAAAAUUUCCACUUCAAGGAUGUUGUUCAAGGGCAUCUCAUGUCGCUUUGAGAUGUUGCCUAACCUCUGGCAUCUGUCACAAAGACGAACAAAGUUAAAAGCAUCCUUAAAUAAAUUAGGCCAAUACAAACCACUUUCCAAGAUGCGUGCUGCCGUCUUGUUUGCUCCGAAGUGUCCUCCACACUCCAUGGAGUGACAGAAACGAAGAACACUUUCCAUCUCUUCUUCUAGUAUGCAUCGUCGAAAGAGCUGGUCACUGCAAUACUUGAACAAAAAUGGUUCCUCCCAAUAAUAAUAUUUAAAAUCGUGAAAGAAUUUCUUCUUUUGUUGAUAUGAUAAAUUGGGAGGAAGGAUUUUGCAAGCUAGAUAAUUAACGAUAUCAGCAUACCAAGGAGCUUGAGCCUUAGUUAAAAGAAAGAGAUGUUCAUGGGGGAAAUCUUCAUUGAUCUGCAUUUCUUCUUGUUCUCCUUCCCCCAACUCAAGCCUGGAUAAAUGAUCUGCUACCAGAUUCUCAAUUCCUUUCUUGUCACGAAUUUCUAAGUCAAAUUCCUGCAAGAGAAGAACCCAACGGAUUAGUCUUGGCUUGGCAUCUUUCUUUUCUAACAGAUAUUUAAUGGCAGAGUGAUCAGUGUAGACUAUUGUUUUGGCUCCAAUUAAAUAGGCUCUAAAUUUAUCAAAGGCAAAAACAAUAGCUAGGAGCUCUUUCUCCGUCGUGGCAUAGUUUAAUUGUGCGUCAUUUAGUGUGCGGCUAGCAUAAUAAAUAACGUGCAAUUUCUUUUCUUUUCUUUGCCCGAGAACAGCUCCUACGGCAUGCUCACUUGCGUCGCACAUAAGCUCAAAGGGAUGACUCCAAUCUGGUGUAGAAAUGAUCGAUGCCGAUGUCAACUCCUUUUUUAAUCUGUUAAAGGCAUUUAAACACUCUUUGUUAAAAUCAAAAGGAACAUCCUUAACAAGCAAAUUACAAAGAGGUUUAGUUAUUUUGGAGAAAUCCUUGAUUAAUCUCCUAUAAAAACCAGCAUGGCCAAGGAAGCUUCUCACUCCCCUUACUGAGUUUGGAGGGAGUAGCUUCUCAAUUACUUCCACCUUGGCCUUGUCCACUUCAAUCCCCUCUUGUGAGAUUUUGUGGCCCAAAACAAUUCCUUCACUAACCAUGAAAUGACAUUUUUCCCAGUUCAGAACAAGGUUAGUAUCUUCACAUCUCUACAUUACUAAUGAAAGGUUAUAGAGGCAUGAUUCAAAUGAAUGACCAAACACAGAAAAAUCAUCCAUAAAAAUUUCUAUGAACUUUUCAACCACGUCAGAAAAAAUAGACAUCAUGCAUCUUUGAAAAGUUGCAGGAGCGUUGCAUAAACCAAAGGGCAUUCUCCUAUAUGCAAAGGUACCGUAAGGACAAGUGAAAGUGGUUUUCUCUGGGUCCUCCAAAGCAAUAGGUAUCUGAAAAUACCCUGAGUAUCCAUCUAGAAAGCAGUAGUAUGGAUAGCCUGCAAGUAUGGAUAGCCUGCAAGUCUCUCAAGCAUUUGAUUAAUAAAGGGUAAGGGAAAAUGAUCCUUACGUGUUGCCUUGUUCAAUUUUCUAUAAUCGAUGCAUACAUGCCAACCUGUGACAGUUCUCGUAGGAAUUAAUUCAUUAUUUUCAUUUGUCACGACUAUCAUACCUCCCUUCUUUGGAACUACUUGGACAGGACUUACCCAACUACUAUUAGAAAUUGGGUAGAUAAUGCCGACAUCCAAGAGUUUAAUGAGUUCGGUUUUGACUCCUUCAUUCAUGUUGGGAUUCAAUCUUCGUUGAUGCUCAAUAGAAGGUUUGUAGUUGUCUUCCAUCAGGAUUUUAUGCAUACAUAUGCUUGGACUUAUCCCCUGCAAGUCAGAAAUUGACCAUCCUAAAGCUUUUUUAUGUUUCUGCAACACCUGCAACAACCUUUCUUCUUGAUCACAUGUUAGGUGAGAUGAAAUAAUAACAGGAAAUGAAUUGUUCUCACCUAAGAAUGCAUGCUUCAGAUGACACGGAACCGGGAUCGGGAAUCAAAGGAAUGGGAUAUAAGUUCGUCUCUAUCAUACAGUGUUCUUUACACAUUUAUCAAUUACAUCUAUUCUAAAACAAUCAUCACAGUCCAUAGGAAAUUUACACAAUUUUAAAACAUCAAAAACAACUUCUUCUUAACCUACUCUCAAAGUUAGUUUUCCAUCAUGUACAUCUAUUAGAGCUCUUGCAGUUGCAAGAAAAUUAAUUACUGAAUUUUAAUUGCAUAAGUGGUAAAUUAAAGUAAGGAUAACAAAAUCAACAGGAAAAAUAAAUUUUCCAACCUUGACAAGGACGUCCUCUACAAUUCCCUUGGGGUAUUUGAUCGAUCGAUCGGCCAAUUGUAGAGACAUCCUCGUUGGCUUAAGCUCCCCCAUACCUAACAUUUUAAAAACUUCAUAAGACAUAAGAUUUAUGCUAGCUCCUAAGUCGGCUAAAGCUUUUUCAAAACUUAAAUUGCCAAUAUUGCAAGGAAUAGAGAAACUCCCUGGAUCCUUAAGUUUAGGAGGCAAUUUAUUUUGAAUGAUUGCACUGCAUUCCUCUGUCAGUUUCACCAUUCCCUGAUCAUCAAUCUUUCUUUUCUUGCUCAAGAUUUCUUUUAAGAACUUUGCAUAGCUGGGCAUCUGAGCAAGAGCUUCAGCAAAAGGAAUGUUUAUUUGAAGCUUCUUAAAGACGUUAAGAAAUUUCAUGAAGCUCUAGUCUUCCUGCGUCUUUUUCAACCUUUGUGAAAAUGGAACGGGUGGAACAUAGGGUUUCACUUCUUCCUUCUCCACUAGAUCAAUGAUAGGUGCCUUUCUCUCUUCUUCUUUCUCCUUCUCCUUUCUGGNNNNNNNNNNCAACUCUCUUCCACUCCUCAAGGUGAUGGCUUGUACCUGUUCUUUAGGAUUUUUCUAAGUGUUACUAGGUAACGUAGCUUGAGGUCGAGCUGCCAUCAUGUUUGCAAACUGUCCCAUUUGGAUCUCCAGAUUUCUUAUCGCAGCUUGUUGGAUUUUAUUGUGUUCUCUCGUUUCAUUCAUAAAAUCCAUGUGUGAUUUCAAAAGGGCAGUAAGGUGAUUAUCAUGAGACUUUUUUUUCUGGAGGCAAGAAACCUGGUGGUGCAUUUAAAGUGUCAUUAGAAUUACCAUAUGAAAGAUUUGGAUGAUUUCUCAAACUGUUGUCAUAAGGGUUCGAGUAUGGGUAAUUCCUCCUUCCUUGGUUCAUCACAUAGUUUACUUGCUCUAAAGUCUGUGGAUUUGCAGAAUCUAACAUGCAUUCUCCAAUUCCAUGUGGUUCGUUGCAUCUGUCACAAGUUUGCAUGAUGGAGUUCACAGAUUUAGUGGUUAGUAAGUCUAGCUUUCUUACCAUGUUGUCUACCUUUGCAUUGAGUGCAGUGAUAGCAUCGAUUUCAUAGAUCCCUGCAGUUUUUCUCCUUUCAGAACUGCUUUGAUAAUGGCCAUUGCUUGCCAUUUCUUCUAUUAAAUCGUAUGCCUCAUCGAUUUCCUUUCUUUCGAAAGAUCCUCCUGCAGCUGCAUCAAGAGUAAUCUUAAUGUUAGGUGACAAAGCAUUAUAGAAAGUUUGGACUUGUAACCAUUUUGGCAAACUAUGGUGGGGACAUUUUCUCAAUAAAUCUUUAAAUCUUUCCCAAGCUUCAUACAAGCUUUCUUGAUCAUGAUGAACAAAAGUCAUGAUCUCAUUUCUCAGCUUGGUUGUUUUAGAAGAUGGAAAGAAUUUAGCCAAAAAUUUCUGGGCUAACUCUUCCCAAGUUGUAAAACUUCUAGCGGGGCAAGAUUGUAACCAUGAUCGUGCUUUGUCCCUUAGAGUAAAAGGAAAGAGUCUUAAUCUAAUGGCAUCUUCAGAAACACCAUUUUGUUUAAAAGUGUCACAAAUUUCCAGGAAAUUUGUGAUGUGAGCGUUAGGAUCUUCACUAGGGAGCCCCCCAUAUUGAAUAGAAGUGGAAAGCCAGUGAAUAAUGGCUGGUUUGAUUUCAAAGUUAUUAGCUUCCACUCUUGGUCUAGUAAUGCUAGAGGUAGCUCCAUUAAGAGAGGGUGUGGUAUAAUCUCGCAAUGUGCGGACAUUCGGUUGAUGUCUGAUUUGAGGAUUUACAGUAAGAGGUAUGUCUUGAGGUUGAAGAUUGAUUCCGUCCAUGUUUGAUUGUUGUUCGGAUCUGUUUUUUCGUGCUCUCCUUGCUGCGUUGUUUCUUCUGCAGGUUUUCUCAACUUCUGGAUCAAAGAUCAGAGGUUCUGCUCUUCCUGAUCUUCUUUGCAUAAAAACCUAAGAUAUUCUACAUAAAAACUAAAUGAAUAAAAACAAAUGAAUAAAUAAAUGUCUAAAUUAAUAACAAGAUAAUUCGUNNNNNNNNNNNNNNNNNNNNNNNNNNNNNNNNNNNNNNNNNNNNNNNNNNNNNNNNNNNNNNNNNNNNNNNNNNNNNNNNNNNNNNNNNNNNNNNNNNNNNNNNNNNNNNNNNNNNNNNNNNNNNNNNNNNNNNNNNNNNNNNNNNNNNNNNNNNNNNNNNNNNNNNNNNNNNNNNNNNNNNNNNNNNNNNNNNNNNNNNNNNNNNNNNNNNNNNNNNNNNNNNNNNNNNNNNNNNNNNNNNNNNNNNNNNNNNNNNNNNNNNNNNNNNNNNNNNNNNNNNNNNNNNNNNNNNNNNNNNNNNNNNNNNNNNNNNNNNNNNNNNNNNNNNNNNNNNNNNNNNNNNNNNNNNNNNNNNNNNNNNNNNNNNNNNNNNNNNNNNNNNNNNNNNNNNNNNNNNNNNNNNNNNNNNNNNNNNNNNNNNNNNNNNNNNNNNNNNNNNNNNNNNNNNNNNNNNNNNNNNNNNNNNNNNNNNNNNNNNNNNNNNNNNNNNNNNNNNNNNNNNNNNNNNNNNNNNNNNNNNNNNNNNNNNNNNNNNNNNNNNNNNNNNNNNNNNNNNNNNNNNNNNNNNNNNNNNNNNNNNNNNNNNNNNNNNNNNNNNNNNNNNNNNNNNNNNNNNNNNNNNNNNNNNNNNNNNNNNNNNNNNNNNNNNNNNNNNNNNNNNNNNNNNNNNNNNNNNUGUAAAUUGGAAAAGAGAUUAAGCUACAUCAAACCCCCUAGUAAUUUAGUUAUACAUAGUACUUAAAUAAAACCCAAUAAUACUUCAAAAAUAUUUCAUAAUCAAUAAGGAUAAUGAAAGAAAUAAACAAGAUUAUGAGUUUAGAAAUGAGAACUAGUAAUAACUUGCUUGGAUGGCUUCCUUGAACCUUUGCACAACUCUUGAAUACUUAACUUCUAAAGAAGGAUAAAACUAUAUACAAAGCUAUAACAUGAGAGAAAGAAGAAGAAUAUGGAGUGGAGUGGAGUGUAAUGUGUGUGAUGUGUUGGAAUGGCUUCUUCUUCUUUUUAUAUAGACUUCUUUGAGGGAGCAAUCCACAUGCUUUAAUGAAUAAAGUCCUACUUGUUAGGUGGAAAAGCUCCAAAUCAAGCCAUAAAAUUCUCUCAAUUAUGGCUUUCCAUGUGCAUAUGUUUGAAGCUUGACUGGCAUGUGAAGAAGGUAUCCAAAGUGAGCUGUGAAAAUGGCAGGAAAUAGUUGGCAACUUUUGACUCAAUUCAGGAUCCUUUGCUUGGCACGGGCGUGCUGCCUGGCACGGUCUGGGGUGUGCCAGGCUCUAGAAGUCUGGAGGUUUCAGCACGGGCCGUGCUGUCUAGCACGCUUGAGAAGGAUCUUUUGGCACAGCCGUGCGCCAUAGCACGGCCUGGGGUAUGCUAGGCUCUGGAAGUCUGGCGCAGUUGUAGCACGGGCAUGCUUCCGCGGCACGGGUCAGGAUUGCAUCUUCAAUACGGGCACGGGCAUGCGCAUUAGCACGGGCUGAGGCGUGCGCGCCUCUGGAAGUCCAAGGCAAAUGUGGCACGGGCGUGCGGCUCAGCAUGGUCUGGGGCGUGCGCGUGUCUUUCCUCUGCUUGUUUUGCCUUGUAUUUAGUAUGAGCGUGCUGAUUAGCACGGGCUUGAGCGUGCUAAUUUAUAUUGUGCCUCAUUUUUGUCCUUUUCUUGCAAAACCCUACAAAUUUUCUCAAAAUCAAGUGAGUUGUGUUUCAAUGAAGCUUUCAAGUAAAAACAUAACAAUAUUACAUAAAAACUAAUUUAGAUGAAUUAAAAAUACUAGAAAUCUUAGUGAACAUUACAAUAAAAACACUAGAAAAAAUUAACACUAUCACCAGACGUCACUUGGGUCUUGGCCAUUUCUUUCGGGUAUAUAUAUAUAUAUAUAUUGCUAUUGGAUAUUUAAUUAAUAAGUUAUUUUUUUUAGAAUGAAUAAGUUUUUAUUUUUCACCAUCAAAUACUGAUUUCGGGCAUUUUUGACAAUAUUAAUUGCUUUGAUAGCUGAUAGCUAUUUUAGUAGAACUAGUUUUAUUUAUGAUGUAUGUUGCAUGUUGACUAUGCUCAUUAUAUGUUCAUUUUUUAUACUCAUUUAAUUUUUAUUUAUAUAAUAUUAAAAAAUAAAUUUUUAUUUAAAUUGAGUGGUUAAAUUAUAUUACACUUUAUAUAUAUAUUAAAUAUUUUUUUGAUUCUAUGUCAAUAUACUGAUUCAUUUAAUUUUUAUUAUAAGUUAGUUGCUUUCAUUUUCUUUUUUAAAGAAAAACCAAAUUGAUUUACAAAAAUCAUUAUAUAGCUUCUAUUAUACGUUUUAUAAUUAAUUUACAUGUUUUGUUAAUAAUUUUUACUGUAAUCUCUUGUAGUAAAUAAAUAUAAGUUAAUAGUAGAAUAAGAAAACAAUCUAAUAAAUCAAAUCAAAUAUUUAUAAAUAAUAAAUUUUUAUUUUUUUUAGCCAAUCAAAAUCAUGAAAGCUUUUUAAAAAAUUAUUAAUAAAAUUAUAUUCUUUAAUAGAAAUAGGAUUUGAAUUAUAUAAGAUAUCAAUAUAAUUAAUUAAAUUCAAGAUGUUUAAAAAUAAUAAUUUUUUAUUUUAUUUUUUGGUUAAUCAAAUUAGAGUGCAAUUUGUAAUUAAAGAAAUUUAGUCAUAUCCUUUUUAAAUCAAAUCUGAAUCAUCUAGAUAUAUUAAUUCAAAAUAAAUUCAAAAAAAUGUAAAAAUAUUCAAACGCUCAUUUAUAUAUAUUAUUUAAAAUAAUAACUUUGAAGCUAAAUCAUAAAUUAUAAUAAUAAUAAAUUAUUAAAAAUUAUUAAAUUAUUAUUAUUAAUUUACAUAAUAAUAUAAUGAAAUAAAAUAUAAUUUGACACAAUAAGAUAAUAAUAGUAAAAAUUUAAAAUUUUAAAAUGCUUAAUUAUCUAUAUUUAUUUAUCUAUUAAAAAGUCAAAAAAAAUCCAAUCAAAUUAUAGAAAUAUUAUAUAUAUUUUUAGGUUAAAAUUUUUAAUUGGUUAAAAUCAAGGUUAUUUAGGAUAUCUUAAAUUUCACAAGGAUAAUAUCAACAAUCUCAUUAUUCCGCCUCAUUCUCACUUUUAUAAAUAGAAGUAUAGAAGUAUAGAUAUAUAGAUUAGCUAGUAGCUAAUAGUUGUACGUUACAGGGGCUAACAUUAACACUACCUUUAACCUCUCAAAGUUUGAUCAAACGUUACGUUGUCGAACACUAUAAAAAAUAGCGUUUAUCAAUAUAUUAAAAGUUACUUAAAAAACUGUUACCGACAUGGAAUUUAUAUUAUGAAGCAUAUUAGAGGUUCUUCAAAAUACAAAUAUUAUUAAGUACAAAUCGCAGCAUAAACUACAAGAAAUACACUAUAAAAAGAAAUACACUAUAAAGUAGAAAACUCAUAUUAUAACUAUGUAAACAAAGUUUUAAGUACAAAUCGCAGCAUAAACUAUAAGAAAUACACUAUAAAAAGAAAUACACUAUAAAGUAGAUAACUCAUAUUAUAACUAUGUAAACAAAGUUUAUUUAUAAGAAGCGGCUCAAAUAGUAAGGCAUUAUUGAAUUUAGUGGACGAGUUUUAUAAAAUCAUGAGUUCAAUUUGUGAAAAAAUAUUAUAGUGAAAGGCAUGCACAAAACUAAAACAAAAUUAGUUUCAUAAAACUCUUUCUUUGAAAAAAUUUGAAUAAGUCUAUGAUGCUUAAAAGUAAUCGAAUUCUUUCUUUGAAAAGUUGAAAAAGUCUGUGAUCUUUUAAAGUAAUGGAGCUCUUUCUCUUGGAAAAAAAAAAUUGUACCUAAUAUAUAUAAAGGGUGUGGAGAUAAUCUGUCAGAUUUCAAAAAACAAAUGUAGUAAAGUCUAAUAUAUAUAUAUAUAUUAAUCUUUGAGCCAAACUAAAUCGAAUUACGAACAGUCUCUCAAGUUCUAACUUGUUAUGGAAAGAAAGGUGGAGCUCCCACCAUUAGCUAUUGAAAGAACUAAAUAGGCCUUAGCUCUAUUUAUUUAUUUUAUUUUUAGUUUUAUAUGUGUUUUGAUAUUCAUAUCCAAAAACAACAUUUAAAUAAAAUCUUUUUAAUAGUAGUGAUUUUAGAUAUCCAACCAAUGUCUGUAGCUAUUUAUUUAAUUAUUUAUAUGGAGUAAUUUUUUGUAUUUCUAUCUAUUUAAUUAUUUGAUUAAAUAUACAAUUCAAAUGUCAAAAUGAGCUAAAUGGUUAAAAAAAAAAAAAAAACAGCUUUAAGGAAAAAUAUAUUUAGGUCCCUAAAUUGUAUCUUAAUUAACACUUAUGAAAAAUUACUAUAAUAAUCUUUUACUUAAACUCAUUAUCGGAUCCUUCCGGUAAAAUAAUAAACAAUUUAUUAUUAGUCAAAUACAUUUUUUUGAUGGAAUAUGCUCAUUUUUUUAACGUAAAAUAUUAAUUUUGUGGAUAGAAGGAUCCGAUAACGAGUUUAAGCAAACGUUAGAAAUAUUAUAAUAAAUUCUCAAAAAUAGAGGAACGACAAUAUUAAUUAACACAAUUUGAUGACUCAACAUUAAUGUGGAGAAUAUUUCGACCCACACACUAGCCAACUUGUAAGAAUAAGUUUGUUCUUUACAAUUAUAUUGUAAACAACAUACUUUGGAAAGUUGACAAGGUUGUGAGUCUAAAAGUUUCACCAAUCUAUGGAACAACAAUAUCCAAAUGGGUUUUCAAAUUCACGGUCUCUCUUACAGUUGUACCGAAAAUACCAAAAUGGAGCAACAAACCGUACAUGAAUUAAAAGCGGAAACUAAACAACUUCAUAAUUUGCACGGAUAAUUUGUAGUUUCUCGUUCCCACUCAAACUGUCAACUUCUUAAUUUUUCACAUGGAUUAAAAAAAUUAUUAGUUAAUUUAUCUUGAUUCUAUAAAAUUUUCAUUUUAAAUUAUCUCAACACCCUUUUACUAAUUUUUAAUACUAUACUCUAUAAUUAUAGUGAGUUCAAUAAAUAAGGAUAAAAAAGUAAAAAAUAUAAUAAAUUCUUUUUUGAAUUUUGAAAAAUGAAACUUAAAGUGAAACAAGAGAAAUAUUAGAAACUGAAAAGUAAUUUGCAAUUAGGUGAAUUUAGCCAAAAUAAUUCUAAUGUAUGUUCAUAUGUAUAUAAAUCAAUUCGUUACAGAAUUUCUUCUAUGAAUUUAGCCAACCAUAUAGGUAGACAUGCGUAGCUAUGUACACAUAUUUGGAUGUACAUAUGUAUAUAAAUCAUUUUGUUGGGUGAUCAUUUUAUUCAUGAUUAUUUGAAAAUAACAAAAUAAUUUUUUUGCUCUUAAAUAACAAAAUAAUUUUAAAGUAUUAUUAUAGAAAAAGUUAAUUAACGUUAUAUUUAUAUAAUAUUAUUAAAAUAAAAAAUAACAUAUACACCUUAUAAGUAACAAAUCUAUGUAUAUGUUAAUUUAUGAAAAUAAUAACAAAUCUAUGUAUAUGUUAAUUUAUGAAAAUAAUAAUUAUAUUAUUAAUAAUUAUUUUAUAUUUCAAUUGCAAAUUACUAAAAUUUUAUCAAACAACAAGCAUUCAUCAAUUAAUAGUUUUCAAUUAUACAAUUACUGGCGACCAUUGAUCAUACAUGGGAAUGGAAGCGGUGUAGAUAUUUUAGGGUACGCUUGCUCCGAUCCGUUUAAAAAGGAUAUGAGUAAUUAUAAAUGAGUUUGAAACGGUUAUAGAUAGUGAAAUUAUUAUCCGUAAUAGAUAGUGAAAUUAUUACCCGUAAUAGAUAUGAGUAGGAUAUGGAUACCAGUCUUUGUGUAUCCGCUAUCCGUUAAUUACCCACUAUAUUAAAUGGAUUUUGUAAUUUGUUCAUGUCUAUUAUUAAUAAAAAUUGUAUUCGAAAUAAGUUCGGAUUUGGAUAGUUUAAGAUUUGUGGGUACUCUACCCGUAUAAAGGUACUUUUAACAGAUUUUAAACGGGCUCGGAUAAUAAAAAUUUAAACAGAUUUGGAAAAAGAUAUAAAUAGUAAAAUUUUAAAUGGAUACCGGUGUGGGUAGCUUAAAAUUCGCAGGUACCCGUGCCGUUACCAUCUCUUCGUACACAACUAAACUAAACAAACACUAAGUUUAUUUAACUUCCAAAAUUUAUACGAGUCUCAUAUACAAUUUAGGCAACUCGACGAAUUUAUUAAUGAGCUAAGUUUGAGCUAACCAAAACUCGAAUAAUUUGAAUCUUAUAUGAAUUUGGACCCAGUAGACACUAUAUUGCAGUGUUAUUAAAUUUGGUUCGGAUCUUGACCCCGCAAAAAAAUAUCAUGUUAAUGAGUCAUUGGUUUAACCAAUGGGUCAAUAGUUCAAUUAGUGGGCCAUAAAAUAUUAAUAAAAUAUAUUAAUUAAAUAAUUAUAAUAUAGUAAAAACAAUUAAAAAAUAUCAAAAAUCGGUCCAAGUCAAUGGGGUUUGUGUGGGUCGACCGCUUCAAUCACGGAUUAACUGGUUCAAUUUAGUUCCCUUCCUUAAAUAGCUCAAAAAUAAAACCGAAUCGAUUUUAAAGUUGAUUUAUUGAUUUUUUGAGUGGAUUCACCGGAUCGAACCGAGUUCAAUAAGUAUCCUAUAUUGAAUCUUUUAGAAUUUUGUUUUUGUUUAAAUUUGGUUAAUUGCCUCUCUCCUCUUUUAACCCCUUGACUUUUGGUUAAAAGUGUACUCCCCUUAGUUUUAUAUUCUAGCUUCAUCCUAUAGGAUAAUUCAUAUGAUGGCGCCACAUCACAAUUCAGAAUCUGAAACAAUUCUUUUAAAAUAAAUUUUGGAAAAUAAAACAAAACGAUGGAAAAUUUCUUUAUGUUUUCACUUUUUGUACACUUCAUCAUUUGAAAUUGAUUAUUUUUCUCCUUUCAUUUCUUAAUAUAUUUUAUUUCAUCUGUUCUUUUCAUAUAGACAAACUUUUCUUUUUUAAUAUUCUUUUUAUAUAGAUAAACUUUCUUUUUUUAGUAACAUUGAAAAAAAGCUAAUAUGAAAAUCUCAUAUCACUUUUGUCUUAUUCUUUGUGAAAGUUUUAUUAUAAGAGAUUAUCAAAGUAAUAGCAGACAAAAGUGUAUAUAGGCAUAAAUGUGAAGGAAAUUUGGUGAUAGAAUUGUUAUUUUUUAAAUUUACGUUAGAAAAAUAAAUAUGGUCCAAUUAAAAAAAUUAUGAUCUGAUUGAGAUAGAAUCUGAGUUUUAAAAUGAUACAAAAUUUAGAAAUGGAGCAUAGUUAAGAGUUAUAAUUCUAUACUUUGGGCUAUUUUUUGUGAAACUAUUCUAUAUUUAAAUUAUUUGACAGUUGCUCAAGUAUAUUGGAAGAUUAUUUGAACACGAAAUAGUCAUUUUUUUAACACAAUUUAUACAAAAAGGGACCAAUAAUAAAUUUCUCUCAAAGGCUAUAGCAUAACUCUUUUUUUUUCUACUCGUUUGAUUUUGGGUUCAAUUUAUUAUUUAUGUGUACAUUUUAUAGGACAUAUUAUUGUUUGUCCAAAUUUGUGAGUGGUCUAGUUUAUAAAUUGGGUCUAAUUUUUUAACGAAGCCAAUGUAUUUACUAAAAUUUCAACUAAAGAUGCAGAAUUGAGAAUCAAAAAUUUGAAUUUUUAUUCCUUAAUCAAAUCUCUUAAUAUACCUUUUUUUUUAGAACGACAAUGUAUUUAUUUUGUUAUUCAAACAAGAAAUAUUAUUAAAGACAAUUUUACAUUUAGGAGGAGUUAAUAUCAUAAUACUAAGGAUAUGUUAAUAAAAAAUAAGAAAAAAUAAUUAAUUAAACUGAUUUCUUAAUUAUAGUGAAAAAUAAUUGUGCCUAUAUAAAAAAAACAGAGGGAAUUGGAUUUUCCAAUAAUGUAAAGUCACAUACAAGUGAUUUUGUCCAAUUACAAAACAAUAGUUGCAAAUAGAUAAUAUUUUAUAAUAUUUACUAAUAAUUUGUAAAAAUUUUUUGUUUUUUAAAAAGUUUCUGAACUACUGAAUAAUAGCUCCAGCUGUGAUACUUCGUAAUAUUUCACAAUAAUUUUUAAAAGAUAGGUUUUUUUUUUAAAUUUAAUGGUUUAUAAAAUAAUAGGUCUAAUUAUCAGUAAUUUGUAAUAUUUUCAACUAUUUUAUAAAAGUAUUCUUUUUUUCGUAAAGUUAUUGAUUUGUAAAAUAAUAGUUAUGCAAUAAAAGAUUGGAACAGACACAAAUAGCUAAAAUCACUAUCCUUGAUAGGUAUGGAUACAUAUUAACUGGUCUCUUGAAAUCGGCUAUCCAUUACCCACUACAUUAAGGGUUUGUUUGGCAAUAGUAGUUGUUGUAAUAGAUAUUAGUUGUUAAUUAUUAGCGGUUUAUUUAGUGGUUUAAAGCAACAUUGUUCGAUAAAAAUAGAUAUUUGAUUAGCUGUUAUAAUUAAAAUAACAAAAAAAUGACAUUAAAAUGUUAAUUUAAAAUUUUAAAUUAUGGACAUAGAACUGAAAUGGACUAAUUAAUAAAAAAAUAAGAUGAUAUAUAUAACAAGUAUUUUUUUUUCUUUCUUUUCUAAAUUAUUAUCAUAUUUUUUUAUUUUUAUUUCAAUUUUUUUAUAACAAAAAAUUAUUUCUUAUAAAAUUAAAAUGAAAAAAUGAGGAAAAUAUUUUUUCUAAUUUUUUUUUUAAAUUUUGACAAUACGCUCUUAUCCUUAUUUUAAGACAAUAGAAAUAAAAUAAUUAAAUAUUUAAAAUGAUAUAUAUUUCUUUGAGAGUUGAGAAACAAAAAUUAAAUAAAUAACAAGAAUACCAAAUUCAAAAGAGUGUUAUAGCGAGUAGAAUACCAAAAUUUUAAGACUUAAGAAUAGGGAAAAAAAAAAAAACAAAUGGAUAACAAUUUCAAAAAAAAAAAAAAAAAAAAAAAAAAACAAAAACGCUAAACGUUAAGAGAUUUAACGUUUGAUUGAAUGCUUUCUAGCCUCUAACAACAGUUACAAAUAUUAAGUUACCAAAACAAUCUAAUUUAUAGAUAUAGUGUUUUGACUCUGGUUAAAACACUAAAAGCUCUCUCAAACGUUGUUGCCGAACAUGCUCUGAAUGUAUUUAAUAUUAGGCUUUUUAUUGAUGAGGAGCGUAACACUGGUGGCUCAAUCCCUGAAAGAUUAGACGGCGGAUGCCACAUUCUAGCUAACGGAUCAAACCUAAAAUUAAAGAUAUGAAUUUUUUUUUUUCCACAUUUCAAUCACACACUCAGCAUCAUAAAAUGAGUAACUCAUCCAAUAAAAGUAAGGAAAUCAAAAGCACACCCACCCUAGGUGGUUCGGCCAAAACAAGACGAAGGUGAACAAAAGAAUUUCUUAUGAAAUCAAGCAUACUACCACAUUCAAUACACUCCCAAAAACACAAUCAAACAUCCAAUACACAUUAAAUUACUCAAAAUCAUUAAAAUCCCCAAAUUUACUCAUAGAACUCUUUAAAAAAAAAAUCAAAUUUAAAGAAAUUGAAAGAGGAUGUAGAAUUAUUGAGCUCUAACCUUAAAUAAACCAUCCUUAGCAAGCUUAAAUUCCCCACAAGCUCAAACCUUAGCUCUUUCUUUCUUUAAGUUACAAGAUUACAUGUAAACUUUACUUGUUCAAAUAGUACAUAGCUUAUAUAUGAUUUAUCUCAAUGUCCGUAAAUCGAUUUAACACUCAGAAAGUUCUAUAUGCCUUAAAUCCAAACAAUUAUGAUAAAAUACUCAUAUUCAUACAUUAUUCUAAAUCUCAUAUAGCAUAUCAUAAAAACUCAUGAGCUUAUAAAUAGUAAUUAGAUUUUAUUAACACUUAUUACAUACAAGAAUCAUGCUUAAGGACUCAUGGAAAUUUUCAAAUCUCAAAUAAGCCUUAAAAAUCAUAUAACUUCCUACAUAGAUAUGAAGAUUCAUAUUAUAUAUGCAUAUCACAUAUGCCAUCACGAAGUCCCAUAAUCAUACAGAAAAAUUAGGCCAGAAUAUAAGGCUCUUCGCUGCGGCUUAUUCGGUACGUCUUUGCAUAUUUGUACAGAAAAAUUCUUAUUUCGAUUUUGAUGUUUCUAAAUAAAGGGUGACCCAAUUUAAAAAUAAAUAAAUAAAUAAAGCGCGUGACCCACUCAGAAAAACAUCCCAUAUUUGUAAAUUCUAGAAAUAAUUUUAUGUACACCGUUUUUUUUUUUUUUUUCUCUUCCAUGGAAACUAUUUUUAUAGGUCAAACCAUGCAUAUCUAUGUCAUAUGUGGAAUAACUUUAGAGUUCAUAUCUUAAAAAUAAUAGUGAAUAUGUAAAUAAUUUACGAUAUGCUUACUUACAGAAAACAGUUUUUUAUUUUCUAUUUUCUAUCUUCUAAGAAAACGGUUUUCUCAGAAAAUGAAAACUAUAAAAUAGAAAAAUGGAGAAUGCAUUCACUUUGUAACAAUAAAAAAUCAUAUUUUAACUUAAAAACUUCACAAACAUUAUUUAUAACCUUCAUAAUUAUAAAAAUAAAAUACUUUAAAAUAAAUUUAAAAAUUUCUUAUUUAAAAAUAAGAACAUCAAUUUUUAUCAUUUUUUAGUUUUAUAAAAAAAAAUAAAGGAUAUAAUAUAUUUGUAAUAAUGAAAUUAAUUAUAUAUUAAAGCAUAAUAUAAUUUUUUAUGUUACUUAAAUAUUCUUAUUUUUUCAAUGAAAAUAUUUUAUAGAAAAAAUUGUUUAGAUAUUGUAAUUUUUAAUUAUAAAAAUAUCAUUUUUUAAAUAUAAAUUUUUUUUUGUUAUAAAGGAAAACUCUGGAAAAUAACUUGAAAAUGUUUUUCAAACUUUAGUUAAUUUUUGGAAAACUAGAAAACUCAUAUAGAAAACUGACUGAUUUGAACACAAAAUUCUAUUUUCCAGUUUUCUUAAAAAAUUUUUCUAAAAAACUAUUCUAAUUUUCCUACAAGUAAACACACUCUUAGAGUUUAUGUUUUUACAGCUCCCGUGGUAGGUCUAUAUAUAGAUAUAUAGGAAAGUUCUUAAUAGAGUUUUGAUGUUCUUAAAAAUAAAAGGAAAAUAAGUUCAGGAAACAUUUUAUAUUUGUGGGUUUCAGAAAAAGUUGAUAUAAGUGCUUUUUCUGCUCUCUAACUGACUAUUUCCAUGGUUCAAAUCAAACCAUAAUCUUUAGGUUAUAAGUGAAAUAAUUUUAUUGUCUAUGUCUAAAAAAUAAAAAUGAAAAUGUAAAACAUUGACUACAUCAUAUUUAUUAGAUAAUUACAUCAUUCUCAUCAUUCUUUUUUGUGAUGCUUUGGGUGCAGGGAUUCGUAGUGCAUGGUGUGAUGAUAACUUUGAUGAUUUGGUGUGUGCACAUAAAAGGUCCAUUAUAGGCAUCAAUUUUUUACCCUCUAAUGCUUGUGUUUUCGGCCUUAGAGGGAUCUCUGCUAAUUGAUGAGCCACUACAUGUUGGAAGGAACUUUGAUUGUGUGCGGAUCAUAUGCAGUAUUAUGGGGUAAAGACACAGAGACAAAGAAAAUGUCUCAACUCAUUCCACUCAAUCUCAAAAAAAACACAAACCUUGCCAACUACAAAUAGCAUUAGCAAUACCCAAAAUAGUGAAAAUUGCAAAGAUGUAUCAGAAAAGAGUACAUGGAAUAAAAGAAGAAAAUGCCCAAGAAGGGACUUAAAUGCAGGUGGUAGCAAUUAGCAUAUAUUUGGUAGAGAUGGAAGCAUUUCUCCCAUCAAUUUUUUUUUUUUUUUUUAAUUUUUUGUAUAACUUACUUGUUCUGUUUUUCUUUUAACAAAUUACGGCAGGGCAUGGCAAAUUAGAUAAAUUUUUCUCUUAAAUUUUAUGUCAAUUACAUUUAAAUUUUUAUGCGUUGGAUAACCAAAAAGUUUGGUGUAAAACAAAUUUAAUUUCCAUCGCCUAACAGGUUCUCACUUUGAAGUGUUUUUUUUUUUUUUUUUUUUUUUUUUUUUUUUAAUUUUUGUAUAACUUACACGUUCUGUUUUUCUUUUAAAAAAUUACAGCAAGUCAUGGCCAAUUAGAUAAAAUUUUUUCUCUUAAAUUUUAUGUCAAUUACAUUUAAAUUUUUAUGCGUUGGAUAACCAAAAAGUUUGGUGUUCAACAAAUUUAAUUUCCAUUGCCUAAUAGGUUUUCACUUUUGAGUGGUUUUCUUUUUAAAUUUUCUUUGGCUAACGAAAGAAAAAGAAAAUUAAAAAAGGGAGUCUAAAGAAGAAGAGAAAGAGAAAGGAAGUUUAAAGAACUCCGAAGAAGCGCAUUUCAACUUCCACAUAUCUGUUAUCUAUGUUGCACUCUACUUAAUAGUUACAAUACUUGAAGAAGCAUGAGCCAUUACUGUGUUGCGGAAUGGCUUGUGGGCGCAGACAAAACCAUAGAGAACUUAUUAGCGACGCCAGCAAGCCACCUAACUCCUCCAUCUCUGUCUCUACGCUGAAAUCAAGGCUAGGUAUGCAAUUUCAUGAUUGGAGGAUGCCCUAAUUCAUCUCCUAGACAAUAAAAAGAAAGAGAUAUUAGAGGUGUGAAAUCUGACAUUUCGAUUUCCAACUAAACCAAAUCAUAAAAAAAAAAAAAAAAAAGAAAUAGUAUUGCAAUUUUUCUUAAAUCAAACUGCAAUUGAACUUUAUUUUGAAUCGAACCAAAUUAGACCAGUUGGUUUGUUCAAUUUUCAGCAAAAAUAAAUUUUUUAUAUGUAAACGAAAAUCCAAAACUGAAGUAUAAUUUUAAUGAAAAUGAACUAAAAUUGAAUCGGUUCAGUUUUUCUAUUUUAAGCCCACUUUGCCUAGCUUCAAAGAGCCACUUGUUUAAAAACUGGUCCUAAAAUGAAAUGUGAAUGUAUAGGAACAAACAGAAACGAAAAUGGAAACUGAAAUUGAAACAUAAUGGAGUGUUAGAUCGGCCAAAUUAUCACCACCUCUAUAGCUUGAAUGAAAAAUUAAUUCCAUGGUUUGUUGACAUAGUGAAUUAUCUUGCUACAGGUUCACUUUUGAAGGAAUUAUCUAGAUCUAAAAAGGAGAAAAUUAAGAGAGAGGCUAGAUACUAUGUGUGGGACGAUCAUUAUCUAUGGAAGUUUUGCUCUUACCAGAUUAUCAAGAUGUAACAGUCUGAUUUUCUUUUAGUAUCGGUAAUAGUACCAUCGGUCUGUGAAUAGUACCAUCGGUCCGAGACUUGGUAUUAUUUUAGUCCGGAAAAAUUACUAUGCUUAUUUAAUAUUUUAUUUACUAUUUUUGGAGUAUGUUUGCAUGAUUUAGGCGGGUAGAAAAUAUUUCAUGAAUAUUAUUAGAGAGUUUAUGUAUUAAAUGCAUAACAUUUCUAGUGUGGUAUAUUAAGAAAUAAAUGAGGAAUUAUUUUAAGUUAAUUUACUUAAUUGGUGGAGUUAAAUAAGAAGUAGAAGAAAAUUAUUUGAGGAAUAUUUAGAGCCAUUGGAUGAGAUUACUUAGGACUUGAUCUUAGCCACACAUUUGGCAUGAAAUUAGGAAGUCAAAUUUGACUUUGCCACCUUAAAGUAACACCACAACACUUUUUCUUUCUUCUCUUCUCCUUCUCCACGCCAUUUCCAUCUCCUUCCUUCUUCUUUCAUUUUGACUUUGGCACUUAAAAGUAAACACCACAACAUUUUUGUCUUUCUUCUCUUCUCUUCUCCACGCCAUUUCCAUCUUCUUCCUUCUUCUUUCAUUUUCUUCAUUUUCUUACCUCCAAAUUUACCACCAAACUACCUAAUUAAACCAUAGAAUAGGACUUAAUGCUUAAGAAUUAAGGAGUAGAAGUUGAGAUUUGUGAUUAAAAGCAAAGAGAAGUGAAGUUACCAUUGAAGCAAGUAAGUUGUGGUUUUUGAGUUUUGUGAAUUGUUAAGUAGAAUUCAUGGUUUAGACAUGUUAUUGAUGCAUUAAAUCAUGCUCCAACUAUUUCUUUUGUCAAGUUUUGCUUGUAAUGUUGAUUUUUCAUGCUUUGAAGAGGUUGGAGAACCAUCCUCAAAGGGGAAAGAGAAAGCCAAGGAGUAAGGCUUUCCAAGCUUAUUCAAGCUUGUUAAUAAGGUUAGUGCAAUCAUAAUUUCACUUGUUUAAGUUGUUUUUACAUGGUUAGGGUUUUGAAUAUAUUUUGGGAACUUUGUAUGUUUUGUUGAAAUUGCUGAAUUUUAAUGUGAGAUGUGUUCUGCCGUGGGAUUGGAACUCAUUUUCAACCCCUUUUUACUUCCCAUUUGUUUCUGACUUCUUCAUGAACGUUGUAGCUCUAUUUCUCAGCUUUCCACAAUAUAUUCUUAUGUCUAAUUCCAAUACUUUUAGCUCAACUUAUGAUUUAAAUACCAAAACUGGUUCUGUUAUGCUGUCUUACCUGUCUAUCCGAAAUGAUUGUCCAUUUUGACCACUCAAAUGGCAAAAUAAUGUCUUAUGUUCUUCAUAAAAGUUAUAGCUUUACUUCUUAUCUUUCCAACCCAUCCUCUUGUGUCCAAAUUGGAUAUACAUAGCUCAACUUAUGGCUGAAACAAUAGCUCAACUUAUGGCUGCAACACCCAAACUGACUCUGUUGUGUCGGGCCACAUGCAUUACUAAAUUGAGUGCCCAUUUUGACCACUAUAAUGACAAGAUUAGGCUCGGACUUAUUCAUAAACGUUGUUGUGCUGUGUCUUGAGACUUCUCUCAUUCUGGAUUGGUUUCAUUUGAGUGUUUGGUUAAGUAGGAAUUGAAGAAACAUUGGACUUGGUUCUGCUGAAUCAGGUCUGAUCUGUUGGUCUGUGUUCCUAGCUUUUGUUUGCUAUUUUAACGAUUGAUUUGGGCUGUGGUCCCUUCUGAACAUCUGUAUCAUUUUGUCUUAGCUUUCUAAUGAAUCUAAUUUCAUUCAAUUUGGAGACCCAUAACUCAAAUUAUGUGUUAAAAACCCAGCAAAGGUCAAGUUUAUGAAAAUGCUGAAAAGUUCUUGAUUUAUGUACUUUUAUACUAUAUUAAGUAUAUAUAUAUCUAUAGUGUUUUGAGUAAAAAUUUUGAACUGCUGAGUAUGAAGAAAUGAAGAGGUUUUGAUUAAGAAUGAUUGCUUUUGUGAAAGAAUGAUUUUGAUUUGGGCUCUACUAUGCAUGAUUGAGACGUGGUAUGAUGAGAUGGAUUUUCUUAUUGUGAAGCUAUGAUCAUAUGCUAGGGUUAUCAGCCCUUAUAAAUAGGCGGACGCGCUUAUUUGUGUGAUGGGGUGGUGCUUUCAUAGGCCACGGUGGUGCUUUCAUAGGCCACGAGUAUGUGAUGGGGGUGGCGCUAACAUAGGCCACGAUCAAAUCUGCUUAUGUUCAUUCUGCAUGAGUAUGAGCCUUAACGAAAAAUGAAAUUUUAUUGUUGCUAUAAAAGAAUGAAGACAUAUUUGUAUUUAUAAUCUUCUCAUUGAUUUCAAAGUAUUUAAAUUAAAUGAAUGCGAUCUCGGUAUUUAUAUAGUUGAGUAAUUUAAGUUUUGCCUUGGCUAUUAUUGUUAAUUAAAUUGUUGGUUAUUUAGCACCACUGAGUCUUCCACUCAGCGCGUUGAUUUUUAUCACGCGCAGGUUAGGAGCGGAGGGUGUUCUUCAAGACCAGAGGACGAGCAUCAGAGUAGAUAUCACAUUUUGGGUAGGAUAUUUUGUAAAUGGUGAUUUUUGGCAUGUAUAUAAAGAUUGUAUUAUGGAGGUUGUAUAUAAUAAGUUUAUAAUGUAUUAAGAGUUAUGAUUAUUGAAGGAAAUAACAUCUUAUUAUAUUUUUGGUGUAUGAUGAUUAUAGAUUCCUUGAAAAGAAUGUGUUUCGAAUAUUAUGCGUAUGUUGAUGGAUAUUUAGAAGUGCUUGUGGUAUGUUAUGUUGAAUUGGAGUUUUGGGGUUUGGAGAAAAUUGGAAGUGUGUAUAUUUUCUUUGUGUGGCAAGUUAAUUUUUAGGGGAAACUCUUGCGAAAUUUUCGUAGGAAUUUCCUUAAACAUUAUUUUUGAAAAAAAGAAAAAAAAAAAACAAAACAAAAUGUUAAUUACUUGCCUCCUUAUGAAAAUUUAACCACUUCUAAUUUGUGAUCUAGCUUUAAUAAAUGACAUAAGAUGGUGCUCCAGCACCGAUUGUGGCAUCCGCCGUCUGGUUCUCCGGGAUUGGCCGGUGGGUGAGGUGUGAUAGAUAUAGAAAUUUAGGCAGCGCUGUGAUUCUGUCACUCCUAUGCAUGUGGAGGCCACUUUGGACAUAAUGGGACUGCUCGUAAAGUGCUAGACUAUGGUUUGUUUUGGUCUGCAAUAUUUUGCGACUCGUACAUAUUUUGCAAAACUUUGUGAGAAUUGCCGACAAACUGGGAAUUUGGGAUGGAAGGAUCAAAUGCCACUCACUCGUAUACUGAUAUGUGAAAUAUUUGACGUAUGAGGCAUUGAUUUUAUGGGUCUGUUUCCAUUGUCUUGUGGAAAUUUUAUAUACGUGGGUCCAUUACAUAUGGCACAACUCAAGAGGGGGUGAAUUAGAUUUUCUAAAAAUGGACUUUCGAAACACAAAAUCAGAAUUCUGUUGCAGCGGAAUUAGAUAGUGUUUGUGAGAGUCAGUUAUCAAGUUUAAAACUUUUUCACAAAGCUAUUGCAAAAUUAGAAAAACUCUGUGAAGAGUAGUAAUUACAUUUAGAACUACUUCACAAAACUUAUACAAGAUUAGAAAACUAAUUAAAACUCAAAUUGUGAAUUCUACUAAAUAUAAUAGGACAUAUUAGAACUUAGUAAAAUCACAAUACAGAAGUCCAAAGUUCUAAGGUUUUACAAAGAUAAAGCUUUUUCACAUUUAGAAACAUAAACUCAUUAACAACUUUGCAUUUCUGAAAUGAUUAACAUAAGUGUAAACAAAAUAUAAUCAAACAACACUUCAGAAAAUAAAAGAAGAUAAACUCAGAGAUUUAUAGUGGUUCGGCACUAACUCACCUACAUCCACUCCCUAAGACUCAUUUUGAAAUCCUCCACUAUGUUAUCUCUUUCCAAGGGUAAGAGACAAAAAAAUUUUAUAAGAAAACAGAUCAACACCUAGAUAUAAUCUUUGUCCCACUAGAAAGUUUGCUAGGAUAGAGAUUGAUUUAUUAGCAAGUAGUUAGUUUGUUAUAUUGAAAUUAGAUUUUAUGCUAUUAGUUCUAUUAAUUUGAUUUUACGAUUUAUUAUUUAAUUGUUUUUUUCUGUUUGUAUUUUAUUUAUUUAUAAUAUUUGUUUGUUUAACUAAUAAAUAAAUAUUCAAAAUUUUGCAACAAAUUCAAGUUUCUUGACGAUAACGAUAAUAGAAGAAUAGUAGUAAAGCAUGGUAAUGAUGAAGCCGGUGAGAGAUCGUUAAAUGAUGAAGUGUUCCCAGCGCUUGAAGAGAAUGGAAACUCCGUCUAGUAUAUGACCAGUAGUAUGAUCCUAGCAACCAAAAACAAAUAUAUUGACAACCUAAAUCAGAAGAUGACAGAAAUGUUCCCUAGACAGAGCAAGAUUUACAAUAGUUUCAAUGAAACAGUAGAUGACACCAACAACUAUUAGCAAGAGGAAUUUGUAAACACUCUGCUAUCAAACAGAUUGCCUUCGCACAAGUUAAAACUGAAAGUCAACUAUCCGAUAAUGCUACUAAAAAAUUUGAAUGUCUCGCACAGUCUAUAUAAUAGAUUUAGAAUGGUGUGAAGAAAUUUUGGAGCCAAUAUAAUCCAUGCGGAAAUAACAAUUGGACAAAACUCUAGGAAACAAAUAUUCUUACUUAGAGUAUGUCUCUCGCUGAUAUAAAAUGAAAGAGAGCCAUUCCAUUUCAAGAAAAAGUAAUUUUAAGUCCGCAUAUGCUUUGCAAUGACAAUAAACAAAACUCAGGAGCAAACAAUAUUGAAUGUGGAUGUCUAUUUACCAUAGGAUGUUUUUUCACACGAACAGCUCUACAUGGCACUAUCAAGAGAGAUAUCGAUGUCCAUAACAAGGGUUCUUGUAAAGUCAAACAAAAGAAAAAAGAAGGAUGCGACAUAUAAGAGGAACGUCGUCUAGAAGGAGGUUAUGCUACUAAAUAUGUAACAAAAUACUUUUAAAAUUUUCAUCAACAAUGUUAAAAGAUGCCAAUGAUCAAAAUAAUAAAAUAAUAAUUUCAACUUUAUAGUGAAACGAUUUUUAAAAAGGUUGAACCACUUAUUAUUACAGUAGUUGUUCAACAGGGAGAAGGGAAUUGACCGAGAUAAAGGGAACAAUUGUAACUAAAAUUUAUAAUAAAUAUUUCAUAUCAUUAUUUUUAACAUUAAUGAAUAUCUAUCUCUUUUUUUUCUCAAUAUUUUAUCAUGCAUAUAAUAAACUUUUGAAAUAAAUUAAAAAAAAUAAAAUUAUAUAAUGAGUAAAAAUAACGAGUAUCCAUGUGUGGGUCCCGAAUAUAUAUGGCACAACCCAAGAGGGGGGUGAAUUGGGUUUUCUAAAUACUGAAAUAAAUUUUAGAAAUUCUAAACAUGAAUUAGAAUUCUAAGUGCAGCGGAAAACACACAGAACUUUGUGAGAGUAGAAUAUGGAUUAGAAUCUCCUCACAAUGUUCUAAUUUCAGAUAUAGAAAGUCUGUGCAAAGUGCAGCUAUUGAUUAGAACAGCUUCACACUGACUUGUACAAUAUCAGAGCUUCUUUAUGAAGGAAAGUUAUCGAACUUAGAACUUCCUCAUAAAGUUUGCAAAACCAUAUAUAAAGCNNNNNNNNNNNNNNNNNNNNNNNNNNNNNNNNNNNNNNNNNNNNNNNNNNNNNNNNNNNNNNNNNNNNNNNNNNNNNNNNNNNNNNNNNNNNNNNNNNNNNNNNNNNNNNNNNNNNNNNNNNNNNNNNNNNNNNNNNNNNNNNNNNNNNNNNNNNNNNNNNNNNNNNNNNNNNNNNNNNNNNNNNNNNNNNNNNNNNNNNNNNNNNNNNNNNNNNNNNNNNNNNNNNNNNNNNNNNNNNNNNNNNNNNNNNNNNNNNNNNNNNNNNNNNNNNNNNNNNNNNNNNNNNNNNNNNNNNNNNNNNNNNNNNNNNNNNNNNNNNNNNNNNNNNNNNNNNNNNNNNNNNNNNNNNNNNNNNNNNNNNNNNNNNNNNNNNNNNNNNNNNNNNNNNNNNNNNNNNNNNNNNNNNNNNNNNNNNNNNNNNNNNNNNNNNNNNNNNNNNNNNNNNNNNNNNNNNNNNNNNNNNNNNNNNNNNNNNNNNNNNNNNNNNNNNNNNNNNNNNNNNNNNNNNNNNNNNNNNNNNNNNNNNNNNNNNNNNNNNNNNNNNNNNNNNNNNNNNNNNNNNNNNNNNNNNNNNNNNNNNNNNNNNNNNNNNNNNNNNNNNNNNNNNNNNNNNNNNNNNNNNNNNNNNNNNNNNNNNNNNNNNNNNNNNNNNNNNNNNNNNNNNNNNNNNNNNNNNNNNNNNNNNNNNNNNNNNNNNNNNNNNNNNNNNNNNNNNNNNNNNNNNNNNNNNNNNNNNNNNNNNNNNNNNNNNNNNNNNNNNNNNNNNNNNNNNNNNNNNNNNNNNNNNNNNNNNNNNNNNNNNNNNNNNNNNNNNNNNNNNNNNNNNNNNNNNNNNNNNNNNNNNNNNNNNNNNNNNNNNNNNNNNNNNNNNNNNNNNNNNNNNNNNNNNNNNNNNNNNNNNNNNNNNNNNNNNNNNNNNNNNNNNNNNNNNNNNNNNNNNNNNNNNNNNNNNNNNNNNNNNNNNNNNNNNNNNNNNNNNNNNNNNNNNNNNNNNNNNNNNNNNNNNNNNNNNNNNNNNNNNNNNNNNNNNNNNNNNNNNNNNNNNNNNNNNNNNNNNNNNNNNNNNNNNNNNNNNNNNNNNNNNNNNNNNNNNNNNNNNNNNNNNNNNNNNNNNNNNNNNNNNNNNNNNNNNNNNNNNNNNNNNNNNNNNNNNNNNNNNNNNNNNNNNNNNNNNNNNNNNNNNNNNNNNNNNNNNNNNNNNNNNNNNNNNNNNNNNNNNNNNNNNNNNNNNNNNNNNNNNNNNNNNNNNNNNNNNNNNNNNNNNNNNNNNNNNNNNNNNNNNNNNNNNNNNNNNNNNNNNNNNNNNNNNNNNNNNNNNNNNNNNNNNNNNNNNNNNNNNNNNNNNNNNNNNNNNNNNNNNNNNNNNNNNNNNNNNNNNNNNNNNNNNNNNNNNNNNNNNNNNNNNNNNNNNNNNNNNNNNNNNNNNNNNNNNNNNNNNNNNNNNNNNNNNNNNNNNNNNNNNNNNNNNNNNNNNNNNNNNNNNNNNNNNNNNNNNNNNNNNNNNNNNNNNNNNNNNNNNNNNNNNNNNNNNNNNNNNNNNNNNNNNNNNNNNNNNNNNNNNNNNNNNNNNNNNNNNNNNNNNNNNNNNNNNNNNNNNNNNNNNNNNNNNNNNNNNNNNNNNNNNNNNNNNNNNNNNNNNNNNNNNNNNNNNUAUAUAUAUAUAUAUAUAUAUAUAUAUAUAUAUUGCUACUUGUCUCAUUAAUCAUAAAAUAUAGAAAUAAUACUCAAUUUUACCAUAAACUUAUUCUACAGUUUAACAAAACUGAACUUUUAGAUUUGUAAUAGAAAAAUUUCAACUAAAAGAUCAAUUAGAUUUAUUUUUUAUUAAAUAGAACAAAGAUGAUUAAGUUAUUGAAUGAAAAUAUAUAGGUAAUUAUAUUUAAAUUUUAAAAAGAAAUCAAAUUACGGACUUUUAUAUUAUUUAUUAUUUCUCAAUAGCUUUAACCAAUCAAAAAUAAAUUAAAUUGGUCUUUUAACUGAAAAAAUCCAUUAAAAUCAAUCUAAAAGUUAAAUUUUGGAUAAGGUUCUACAUCGUGAAUAAAGUCAUGAAAGAAAUUAAGCGUUAUUUCUCAAAGUGCAGGGAAAGGAUCCGAGUGGAAGUAAGUGUUGUCAUCCAUUAAUUACCACAACUACAUCUUUUAAAUCCAACGUCAGCUGCCAACAAGGACCGAGAAAUUAUUGCCUGUAUUCAAAUUUUAUUUUAAGUUCAACGAUCGAAUAGAAAUUUAUUAUUUUACUGCAUAAAAACGAGGAUAUAGUAUUUUUUUUUUUCCAUUUUUUUUUCUUUAACAUCCGAGCUAAAAUCCCAAACUAAUAUCAAACUGUUCGUGAAGCAUUUAUUCAUGUCAUGACAUCACCACAUAGUUUUAGCUGAAAAAUAUAAUUUGUAUUUUAAUAUAUUAUCUAAUCAAAUUUUAUUUUACUGUUCUGAUAUAUGAUUUUCAAUUUUCUUUUUUUUUUUGGCUGGUUAUGAUUUUCAAUUCUUGCACUAUAUAACAAUUUAUGAUCUCAUUAUUUACUAGAGUUAGUAUUCUACAAAUAGUUUCAUUUUACUGUUAUAAUAAUAAACGAUUUUAUCUUUUUACUACAAGUCUGUAAAAAAAAUUGUCAUAAUUUUAAAUACAAAUUACUAAUAUAAUAAUUAAUAAUUAAUGGUACAAUUAAUAUAUUCAUUAUAUUAUAAAUGUAAUAUAAUUAAUAUAAAUAAAUUUAUUCACAAGCACGAUAAAUGUGCCAACUCAUUAGCCUUAACGAGUUGAGCUUCCUCAAGUUUAAGCUUGACUUGUUUAAUACUUAGUAUUCUUAGAAGAUGCACUUGAACCAAAUCGAGCCUUAGAACUGUUAAUGAAUGGCCUACAAAUAAGAAGCGCCACAAAUAUAUAUUUCUACCAGCCACUUUUUUUUUUUUUUUUUUUUUUUUUUAAUAUAUAUGCAUGGUGUAUGUGAGCUGCAAAUUUUUCCUUAAGAAUUUAUUUUUAAAAUAGAAAAUAAAAAAAUAGUUUGGGUAGUGUUUAAAUAAAAAAAGCUGAGAGCUUGAACUCAAUUUUUUAAAUUAGAAUAGAAUUCAAGUACAUAUUUAAUAACCAAAGUUAAGCUGAAUAGAUUUCAUUUACAAUAUUUAUUAUUUAGUAGUGGACACCUCCUUACCUUUCAUAUUUUAUAAACUUGUGUAUUCUUUGUCAUGUUUCCAUUUAUGACAAAAUGGAAGCAAAACAAGCAACUCAUGCUAUAAAGAAGGCAAAAUAAAAAGUUUUCUGCAAUUGUUGAUCUUAUUCGAGUUGAUUAAUUUUUUCUUCUUUUGGAUAAAUAUAUUUAUCAGAAUUCCGAGAGAGUUGAUACUGGUGAAAAAUGCUGAUGAAAUUGCGUAAAUUAUUGCAUGAGUUGAAGCCAAUCUUGUUAAUGGUGGUGGCUCAGCUCUCCUUUUCUGGUGUUAAUGUCUUCUACAAAUUGGCUUCCUAUGAUGGUAUGAACUUGAGAGUUCUUAUUGCUUACAGAUUCAUUUUUGCUUCUGCUUUCUUGAUUCCUCUUGCUCUAAUCUUUGAAAGGUUAGUAUCCUUAUUAUUAUUACAUAAUUGCUUUUCUUUUUUUUUUUUUAAAUCUUUUUUGCAUUUUGCAAUAUAAAAUUGAGGAUCGAUGAUGUUGUAAUUAAUAAUUUCUGAAUUUUAUUUUGCAGGAAGAUAAGGCCUAAACUUACUAAAACUAUACUCUUCCAAGCAUUUCUUUGUGGAUUCAUAGGGUAAGUGCAUAUAAACUUAAUUAAUUUUAUUUUUAUGUACUAAAUUGUUUAUGAGUUAUGAUAUUAAUUAGCAUCAGAAUUUGCAGAGGAUCAUUAACUCAAACUCUGUACGUGGAAGGUUUGGUGUUGACAUCUGCAACAUUUGCUUCUGCUAUGACUAAUCUUACGCCAGCCGUCACUUUUGUCUUAGCCAUUCUUUUUGGGUACAUCUAGUUUGUAUUCGAUAUAUAUUUAUAAAUAUAAGUUUAAUUAUUUAUUUCUUGAUUGCGAAAAUGUUGUGACUCUUAACUAAUUAGGUUGGAGAAAAUGGGACUAAGAACCCUAGCAGGGAAAGCAAAGGUGAUGGGUACAUUACUAGGAAUAGGAGGAGCAAUGCUGCUAAUAUUUUUCAAAGGGGCAGAAAUUGACAUAUGGUCAACCCAUGUCAAUCUGAUGAAGCUUGUAAAGCCACAUGGAGGACACGUGGCAGCAUCAGAUAGCACUAGAGUAUUGGGUAGUUUAUUGUCUAUAUGCAACUGCAUCUCAUUUUCCGUGUGGUUAAUAAUUCAGGCGAAAAUGAGUGCAAAUUUUCCAUGCCCUUAUUCAAGCGCAGCAUUGAUGGCUUCAGUGGCAGCAAUCCUACAAGUUGUGUUUACCCUUUGUAUCGAUAGAGAUUUGAGUCAAUGGAAAUUGGGCUGGAAUAUAAGGCUCUUCACUGCAGCCUAUGCGGUAAAUAUGUACACUUAUUGACUCGGAUAUUGCAAUGGAUAUGUUAACUAUUUUCCGGCAAUCUAAUUAUUAAUAAAUUUUUUUUUUUUUUUUGCUAUAUAAAACAAACACAUUUAAUCUCUGACAUAAAUUCUAAUUUAUUCAUUAGGAAAAAGAAAGAAGAGAAUAAGAAAUUUUACAUAGAAGAGUAGUAUUAAAUGUUUUUACAUAGAAUAAGAAAAUACCUAACAUAAAUAAUUGUUUGUGUUGAUGAUGGCAGGGAAUAGUAGUACAGGGUGUGACGAUAACUCUGAUCACAUGGUGCGUAAGCAUAAAAGGUCCAUUGUAUGCAUCCAUUUUCAACCCUCUGCAGCUUGUGUUUUCUGCCUUAGAGGGAUCUCUGCUAAUUGAUGAGCCACUACAUGUUGGAAGGUGUAUAAUUUAUACAUUUAUUUCCUAUUUAAUAAUAAUAUAUUGGAAUAAUAAACCACUAAUUAUUCUUAGGAAGGAGAUUAUUUAUAACUUAAUCAUGUUUUUUCUUUAUAAAAAUUGCAGCAUAUUAGGAGCAACUUUGAUUGUGUGCGGAUUAUAUACAGUGUUGUGGGGCAAAGACACAGAGGCAAAGAAAAUAUCUCAACUCAUUCCACUGAAAAUCUCAGAAGAAAUAGAAAUCAUGUCAACUACAAAUAGCACUAAUAGCAACUGCCAAAAUUGUGAAAAUUGCAAUAGAGGCAAGGUAGAUAAAAAUUUAUCAGAAAAUAUACAUGAGAAGGAAGAAAAAAAUACAAAAGAAGAGGCCUAAAUGUAAUAAAUUAGCAUAUGUUUCACUCUUCAAUUUGUAAUUUGUAAUUUUUUUUCUGUAACUUGUAUGUUCUAUUUUUCUUCUAAUAAAUCAUAUUGGGAAAUAUGCCAAAUUACAAAAACUUAUGUCAAUUACAUUUUGAAAAGUUGCCAAUAUUUUUUUUUGUGCUAAACCAAUUUAGAUCAAUUGCCUGGUAGGUUUUCUUUAAGGGCAUAAUUUUAACAAAAUGGAGUGGUUUCAAAAGUAUCCAUGGCAUCUAAAGAUCGUUCAUCAAUUUUAAUAUCUCAUAAUACUAAUAUUUGGGAAGUGUUUUACCUUUCAGGAGAGCAUUUUUGACCAAUUAUAAGUUGAUACUACAAGACUUUAUUACAAUUAAUAAUUAUUUUAUUUGUUCAUCCUGAUAAGAAAUGAUAGUUUGGAAUACUUGUAAACUAGGUAUAGUUCAGAUCUAGAAAUACUUAGAGACCGUUUGGAAUAAAUGAAUGAUGGCUGUAGAAUUCAUUUGUAAAGGAAUUCCAAGUAUAAUUCAUUUGUAAAUGAGUUUGUUAUAUUUGGUAUGCUACAAUUUAAAAUAAGAAAUUCAAUUGAAUUCCACAAAAUUAUAUUUAGAAUGAAUUCUUAAAUGAAAAUUUAUUUGUCUUUAUUUCUUAUAAUACCCUUGAUAUAAUAAUUUAACAAAAAUAAAUAACAAAACACCAAUUAUAUUUACUAUGUACAAUAUAUAUAAUAACUUGUCAUUUUUUAUUGAAAAUAUAAAUAAUAAAUUUCAUAUAAAUAAGUACACUAAUAUUCUAUGCUAAUUAAUUAAUUAUAUACGCAAUAACAUUCAUCAUAAUAAUUAUUUUUAAUUGAUGUAAAAAAUUUUAUUGAUUUAAGUAAUUAAUUUGGAAACCAAAAAAAUAUUAACAAUGUUAUUUUUGUUUUUCAUUACAUUUGAAAACAAUUGUUGAUACUCAGUUUUUAUACUUUCAUAGUAAUAAAAACUGACAUUACUAGACUUCAAAAGAAAAAACGUGAUUACUAGUUUGAAAUUUUUCAAAAAGAAAAGGAAAAAAAAUUAAAAUAUAAAAUAACGUCAUGAUUGGAUUUAAAGAAAUAACGUUGUUAUAAUUUGGAAUUUUGCAAAGAAAAUGAACAAAAAAGAAAAAAAAAGUAAAAAUAGUUGAGUUUAUAGUGGAAGGAUAAUUUUGUCAAUAAAUAUUUCAAUGAUCAAUUUUGUAGAAUUCAUUUAUAAAUUCCAUCAAUUUUAAUAGAAUUCGAGUUAGACAUACCCAAUUCCAUAGAAUUCAAUUCGCAGAAUUUAAAUUUGUAUAUUUUUUUUUAUUCCAAACACAACAUUUUAGAUUUUCAAAUGAAUUCUACAAAAUUCCGUGAAAUUCAUUUGUUUCAAACAGGUUUUUAAUAAUUUAGCAAAUUUUAUUUACUUUUAAGACGAAAUUGUUUCAUAAUGGGUAAAUAGGUUUCACACUAGAUUCUAUAAGAUUAGAAUUGCGCAUUGCCCUCUAACAUUUAUAAAAUAUUAUCACGUUGAUUUUCAACUAAAUCAUUAGGAUUAACAUUAUCAUACCACCUUUUAAUUCAAAAUUGAGACUUAAUUGUGAUGAAACCACAAAGUAUAUUCCUCCGACGAAAAAACUGAUGGGAGCCGGGAAUUAAUCAGCGGAAACAACUCAGGAUCGAAACAAAUAUGAAAGCAAACUAGAAUACAAAUCACAUAAGAACUAACCUGUUGUAGCGUAGAUUCGCUUGCCGGUGUUCUUUUCAGAUAUAUUCAAGUCACCCUGUAGUCUUCUAUUGUGUGACCUUAAUUGAUUCUUUGAAUCCUAUUUUUCUAAGUGGACAGAAAAACACAAUAUCUCUGUUUCUUGAUAGACUACUGCAUUUUUUUCUGAAUACUUUGCUAUAUCUAGUGUGUAUUCAAAAAACAAUAAUAUCUCUUAUCCUUGUGGCAAGCAAACUAUAAGAUUGAUUGUUCUAUUAUCCACGCACUGUAUCUAGUGUGUAUUCAAAAAACAAUAAUAUCUCUUAUCCGCGUGGGAGGCAAACGAUAAGAUUGAUCGUUUUGUUACCCAUGCUGUUAAUAUUUUAAAUAAAAUAGAUUAUCCCUUUUUAAUUAAAAUUUAUAAAUAAACUUUUAAUUAAAAAAUUAAUCUAUUAAUUAUUUAAAAUACAUAACUCACGUACGGUCCAAAUAAUUAAUGCAUAGCAGGGACCGUAGGAAUAAAUUGAUAAGGCUACAAAUUAUAAUAAGAACCCAUAUAUGACCAAUAUAUUCUUAUUAUAAUUAAUCAUAAAUUAUACCACUAAAAAUUCAUGAUUGAACUCCUUAUUAAUUUAACUUUCCACAACAUAAUAAUUUAUGUUCCCCGAGUAAAGAUUACAGAUGCUUGUCAAAUAAAAUAAAUUAAUGAUAAUUUAUUUAAAUAAUAAUUUUAAUCUUUAAGAUUGUUGCUUAAUUUAUUUCAUGUGUUGAAUUAAAAAUCAACCUGCAGGGUUUACCUCUUUAAAGUACAUCAUCAUUCUCUAAAUCGAAAUAUGAAUUUUAUCAUUAAUUAAUAUUUCACAAAUACAAAUGGCCUUUACUCAAUACACUGAGAAUUAUUAUCCCAAUAAAUGAAUUAAAGCACAAAACAAUAUAUAUUUGCUCACAUUAAUUAAUUCAAAAGUAAGAACAUAAAUCUUAUUUCUAAUGUUUUAAUAGAAUUCGAGUUAGACAUACCCAAUUCCAUAGAAUUCAAUUCGCAGAAUUUAAAUUUGUAUAUUUUUUUUUAUUCCAAACACAACAUUUUAGAUUUUCAAAUGAAUUCUACAAAAUUCCGUGAAAUUCAUUUGUUUCAAACAGGUUUUUAAUAAUUUAGCAAAUUUUAUUUACUUUUAAGACGAAAUUGUUUCAUAAUGGGUAAAUAGGUUUCACACUAGAUUCUAUAAGAUUAGAAUUGCGCAUUGCCCUCUAACAUUUAUAAAAUAUUAUCAUGUCGAUUUUCAACUAAAUCAUUAGGAUUAACAUUAUCAUACCACCUUUUAAUUCAAAAUUGAGACUUAAUUGUGAUGAAACCACAAAGUAUAUUCCUCCGACGAAAAAACUGAUGGGAGCCGGGAAUUAAUCAGCGGAAACAACUCAGGAUCGAAACAAAUAUGAAAGCAAACUAGAAUACAAAUCACAUAAGAACUAACCUGUUGUAGCGUAGAUUCGCUUGCCGGUGUUCUUUUCAGAUAUAUUCAAGUCACCCUGUAGUCUUCUAUUGUGUGACCUUAAUUGAUUCUUUGAAUCCUAUUUUUCUAAGUGGACAGAAAAACACAAUAUCUCUGUUUCUUGAUAGACUACUGCAUUUUUUUCUGAAUACUUUGCUAUAUCUAGUGUGUAUUCAAAAAACAAUAAUAUCUCUUAUCCUUGUGGCAAGCAAACUAUAAGAUUGAUUGUUCUAUUAUCCACGCACUGUAUCUAGUGUGUAUUCAAAAAACAAUAAUAUCUCUUAUCCGCGUGGGAGGCAAACGAUAAGAUUGAUCGUUUUGUUACCCAUGCUGUUAAUAUUUUAAAUAAAAUAGAUUAUCCCUUUUUAAUUAAAAUUUAUAAAUAAACUUUUAAUUAAAAAAUUAAUCUAUUAAUUAUUUAAAAUACAUAACUCACGUACGGUCCAAAUAAUUAAUGCAUAGCAGGGACCGUAGGAAUAAAUUGAUAAGGCUACAAAUUAUAAUAAGAACCCAUAUAUGACCAAUAUAUUCUUAUUAUAAUUAAUCAUAAAUUAUACCACUAAAAAUUCAUGAUUGAACUCCUUAUUAAUUUAACUUUCCACAACAUAAUAAUUUAUGUUCCCCGAGUAAAGAUUACAGAUGCUUGUCAAAUAAAAUAAAUUAAUGAUAAUUUAUUUAAAUAAUAAUUUUAAUCUUUAAGAUUGUUGCUUAAUUUAUUUCAUGUGUUGAAUUAAAAAUCCACCUACAGGGUUUACCUCCUUAAAGUACAUCAUCAUUCUCCAAAUCGAGAUAUGAAUUUUAUCAUUAAUUAAUAUUUCACAAAUACAAAUCGCCUUUACUCAAUACACUGAGAAUUAUUGUCCCAAUAAAUGAAUUAAAGCACAAAACAAUAUGUAUUUGCUCAUAUUAAUUAAUUCAAAAGUAAGAACAUAAAUCUUAUUUCUAAUGUCCUAGAGAAUAUAUUUUAAUAGUCAGUAUAAAACAAUCAUUCUCUACUUGGUCCAGUUAGAUCCAUACAAAAUGUACUAACACCAUUAUAUAAAAUAUACUGAAAAAUUUAUUCAUUUUAUGCAAAUCUCUAAUUAAACACAAAGAAAUAAUUUUUCAAAGAAAUAACAUAAAAAAAUAUACUAUUACAUUUGCAUGGUUAAUAGUAUCUUUAUCAAUCUCCCACAUAGACUCAUAACCAUGCAUCUAUUAUUUUAACUCUCAUUCUUUCUACAUGACUAUCAAAAGUCUUUGCUGGUAAGCUCUUUGUAAAAGGAUCAGCCAUGUUGUUUUUCAAUGCAAUCUUCGUCACCACCACAUCACCCCUUUGAUCGAUGUCUUGUAUCACGUGAUACUUUCGCUUAAUGUGUUUUGCCCUCUUAUGACUCCAUGGCUCCUUCGAGUUUGCAACCGCCCCAUUAUUAUCAUAGUAAAGUGUAAUAGGAGAUUGAACUGAUGGAACCACACCUAGAUCCAUAAGGAAGUUCCUAAGCCAUACUGCUUCGUUGGUUGCCUCAGAGGCUGCCACAUACUCAGCUUCCAUGGUAGAGUCAGCAACAUAAGUUUACUCAAUACUCCUCCAAUUUAUGAUUCCACCUCCCAGGACAAACACAUUUCCCAAGGUAGAUUUUCGAGAUUCCUUAUCAAACUGAAAGUUUGAAUCUGUGUACUCAACGGGUAUAAGAUCUCCUGACUGGUAUACCAACAUAUAAUCUCUAGUCCUUUUUAAAUGCUUGACUAUAUGUUUAACUGCAGUCUAGUGUUCUCGCCCAAGGUUAGACUGAAACCUGCUAACCAUGCCAACAAUAAAGCAUAUAUCAGGUCUAGUGUAAAACAUUACAUACAUGAGACUUCCUACUGCCGAAGCAUAAGGAACUUCCUUUAUGCUCUCUAUCUCUUCACGAGUCUUAGGACACUGAUCUUUAGAUAGAGUGAUUCCAUGUUUGAAAGGCAUAAAACCCUUCUUGGAAUCUUGCAUGUUGAAACGAGCAAGAAUGAUAUCAAUAUAAGUGUUUGAGAUAAGUGAAUCAUUCUCUUCUUCCGAUCUCGUAUAAGCUUGAUCCCAAGAAUAUGAGCAGCUUCUCCCAAAUCCUUCUUAUCAAACCGCUUAGACAGUGAUGCAGAACGGUAAUGUGAAUGGGUAGACAAUUAUACUUCCUCAGGAGUUUUGAUCAGUAUCUUUUGAUCUGACGAAUAAAAUUAGGGAAUGAAACUUGCUAAGAAGUUUAUUGAAUGUGAAUUAUAUUUUAAAAAUAAUGUGUCCCUCAAAAUAACAAAGCAACCUAUUUAUAGGUUUGGGCUGAAACAUAAAACCCUAAAAAUAAAACACAAAAAUGUAACUGGACACUUCAAUAGAAACCAAACUCUAGGGAGCGGCACGGGGGUGCAUUCUUAGUCUCGAGCGUGUUUUUGCUCUAAGCUCCAGAGAGAGACACGGGCAUGCUGUCAAGAACAUGGGCAUGUCCCUUCUUCUUAGGCUUGCAGCGUUCCAAGUCUUCCAUAUAUUGAAUCGCAAGUUGCUCCACAUCAAACAACCAAUCUUUGACAGAAGACAACAUACCUACAUAGUUUCUCAUAAGCAAAAUAUCAUCCACAUAUAAUACUAGAAAUAGAACCUUUUUACCAUUCCAUUUCUUAUACACACAAGACUCAUCAUGACACUAUUCAAAACCAAAGGUUUUGAUCGACUGGUCAAAACAAGUAUUCCAAGACCUAGAUGUUUGUUUAAUACCCUAAAUAGACAUAUUCAAUUUACAAAGUAAAUUUUUAUGGACAUUAGAUAUAAAACCCUCUAGGUGCUUCAUAUAGAUUGAUUCAUUCAGACUUCCAUUUAGGAAAGCUGUCUUGACAUCCAUUUGCCAAAUUUCAUAGUCGAAAUGAGCUACAAUAAAUAGAAGAGUUCUAAUAGCUUAAGCAUGCCUACUGGCGAAAAGAUUUCCUCAUAAUUGAUCCCAUCUUUCGAAGUAUCCCCUUUCGCAAUAAGCCUUGCCUUAUAAGUUUGCACUUUAUCGUCUACACCCCUCUUUUUCUUAUAGAUCCACUUCCAUCUGAUGGGUUUAAACCCUUGAGGUGGUUUUAUAAGUUCUCAGACUUGAUUAAAGUACAUGAAAUCCAUCUCAGAUUUCAUAGCUACAAGUCAGUUAUCGGCAUCUUUAUCUUAUAGUGCAUCAUCGUAACAUACUGGUUUAAUACUCACUUCUUUAGGGACCCUUCCAAAAGCUUCUCCUAGACGUGUUAACUGAACCGAUGGUCGUUUAAUUCUUCCACUACGAUGAGGUACUACCAGAUCAGUGACACCAUCUUCUUGCUCUAGUCAUAAAGCCGAUAAGUUUAUGACUGGUGCAACAGAAUCCUGGUCAAGUUCUGGAGCCUCCUCAAUAUUUUCUUCAAUACCGGUAGAUAAUGAAAUGUUAAUGGAUUCCACAUGUUGUGUAUGUAAAUUAGCAUCACUCCCACUAUUUUGGGGUUGUAAUGGUAAAUCUAGAACUGUGUGUUGAUUAGACUAGGUACUGGCAUUUCUCCCACUAUGAUGAGGUAAUGGUAUGUUAGCACCGACUGUGAAUGGUUCAGGUUCAUGUUUUUUUUGAAAUGUGUUAGUAGGUAUGGUAUCCCCUCUCAAUUCUCACAAGGCUAAUUGGAUUUUGGGAAUAUGGUUUAGAAUAUAGUCCUCCUCGAGAUAAUGUGCAAUGGUGCUAACAAUGGUCUUUUUAUCUUUAGAACUAUAAAAUAAACCACCUUUUGUUCCUUUUGGAUAUCCAAUAAAGUAACACAAGUCUGUUUUUGAUUCCAACUUAUCUGCUUUCCCUUUUAGCAUAUGGGUAGGCAACCCACAUCCGAACAUGUCUUAGACUAGGCUUACGCCCAAUGCAUAGUUCUGUAAGAGUCAAAGGCACUAACUUGGAACUAAAUUCAAAAUAUAUGUUGUUGUUUCAAUUGCAUGUCCCUAGAAAGAAAGUGGCAAAUAUGAAUAACUCAUUGUUGAUCUAACCAUUUCCAUAAGCAUCCAUUUCUCCUUUCUGCUACACCAUUCUGUUGUGGCAUACCAGGUGCAGACAAUUGUGAAGUAAUUCCUUGUUCUAAUAAAUAAGCAAUGAAUUCCCUAGAGAGGUAUUCGCCACCACGGUCAAACCGUAGUAACUUGAUAUAUUUUCUAUGCCACUCCUCCGUUUCUGCCUUAAAUUCUUUGAAUUUUUCAAAGCAUUCAGACUUACGAUGCAACAAGUAAAUAGACCCAUACCUUGAGUAGUAAUCUGUGAAAGUCACAAAAUACUCAACCGCCCCUAGCUUGGACACUCAUUGGGCCACACAAAUCAAAAUGAAUUAAUUCAAAAACAUCAUUAGCCCUAUUACCCUUUAAUGUCACGGUGCCUGAACAUUGUAGCCUUUGACACCCUUGUGGCGCUUAGACUUUGCCUAUAAUCUAGGCCAGCUGUGUAUAUUCAGAGGGUCUUUGCAUAAUAUCCGACUGUAGGACUCAUCUUGUAAUAUAUAUAUAUAAGGGUCUCGCACAAUCGUGUAUGAGCUCAAGGCCUUAGAGCAACUCGGGCAGCAUAGAACUACCUAUACCGAAACCUUCACUUGCUCAGAGAUGCGCAUUAUAGGCCUUCGAUCCUAUAGUGUCUAUAGAGCUCCUUCUCUAUAGAGACAUCAGUCCCUCUUGAUAGAAGAUGAUGCCUGCAUCCUAGCUCACUAGGGAUCGAUCCCGCGUACCAGUCCCAGGGCGAUGGAGAGCAUUAUGCCCGGGUCUCCCCUCUCAUAUUCUUGGUCCAAAUACCAUCCAACAUGUUAUUCUCGUCUCCAAUAGCCUUACUUUGUCCAUAAGGUCACCAUGUAUGGUACCAUGGGUAGGUGAAAAGGCCUCUUAGUUAUUUUACCUUCUAGACAUGAUUCACAGGUUGGUAAUGCCUCCACUUUCAAUCAGCUCAAGGGUCCAUCCUUAACCAACCUAGAAAUUCUGUCUAAAUUAAUAUGACCAAGCCUUAAAUGGCAAAGAUAUGUAUGAUUAAAUUCAAUAGGACAUUUUCUCUUUAAUGGUACAACAAUAUCAAAUUUAUUUAUUUCAGAAUUAUUAAGUUGCAAUUCAAGUGAUACUUUAGAAUAAAUAGAUCAUCAAUCAAUGAGCUAGAACAAAUCAUUUAUUUUCUAAAUUUAAUAAUGACAGAAUCAUCAUAAAAUUCAUUAAAACAAACUGAAUAACCGUUCUUACUCAAACUAGAAAUAGAAAUUAAAUUCCUUCUAAUUGAAGGAACACACAAAACAUCCCUUAAAAUUAAUGUUCUAUUAUUCUUAAAACUAAGGGUAACAUUCCCUACAGCUAAAAUUGCAACUUUAGUGCCAUCUCCCAAAAAGAUGCUGACUUCUCCUUUACUUAGUUGGCGUGUUACCUGAAACCCCUGCAAAGAAUUGCAGACAUGAUUUGUGGCUUUUGAGUCUACACACAAUUGGAGUGUAGUCAAUACCGAGAAUUAUUAUCCUGAGUAUAUAAAUUCCUUUGCCCAAUUCACUGAGAAUUAUUAUCCCGAUAAAUGAAACUCACUUUUUAAUGAAUUAAAGCACAAAGCAAUGUAUAUUUGAUCAUAUUAAUUAAAUCAAGAUUAAGAACAUAAAUCUUAUUUUUAAUGUCCUAGAGAAUAUGCUUUAAUAGUCAGUAUAAAACAAUCAUGCUCUACUUGAUCCAGUUAGAUACAUACAAAAUGUACAAACACCAUUAUUAUAAAAUACGCUGAAAAUUUUAUUCAUUUAAUGUCAAUUUCCAAUUAAAUACAUAAAAAUAAUUGCUUAAAGAAAUAACACUAAAAACAUACUAUUAACAUUUGCAUGGUUAAUAGUAUUUCUCUAUCAAAAACAAGUCUUGUUUAAUCUCUACUGCUUUUUUUUUUUUUUUAAUGUAACAACUAUUACAUUUUUUACAAGGAUGUAAUUCAAUCCUAUCCAUGAAGGCAAGAUGGUUUCUUAUAAGGUCUAUAAAACUAUUAGCCCUUAAAAAAUAUACUGAAACUAAAUUUAUUCUUAUAUAGAUCAACUUCUAUUCACUAUGUUAACAUGACGAGUAAACAAAAUAGAGAGUAGAUAUUAGUAAAGAAGCUCAAUGAAUUGUACCAGAAGCACACCUUUCAUUGAUGAGUUUUUGUUGGUUGUGGUGUAGGAAUUGAUUAUCGAGAUAGUAAUGGUGGACGAGUGACGGUAUUUGAAAUAGGAGAUGAACUUAAGCAUUUGUUGGGUGAGAUGGGAGAAGGAAGAGAAGGGCUUGGUAUAUCGAUUGGUUGUGUGCAAGGUCCAAGAAUGUUGGCUUCUAGUGAUUGUGGUGGGAUAAGGAUAGGGGGGGCAAUAGGUACUUGGGAUUGAGGGGUUGUGAUCAUGGAACCUAGAUCUUUAGUUGCCAAAUGGUCAUCACUACAGACAAAUGGAAAAUCCUACUCAUAAAACAAAACAUGUUGUGAGAUAAAAAUCUUACCAGUAGAAAGUUCCAAGCAGUGAAAACCUUUAUGAAGCUUGCUAUAACCAAGAAAAAUACAUUUGACCUUGGAGACAAUUUUCUUUUGGCAUAUGGCUUAAGCCACGGGUAACAAAGACACCAAAAACAUUUAAUUCCUGAUAAUUUGGUUUAUGGCCAAAUAAAAUUUCAUAUGGAAUUUUUGUCACAUUAUGUUUGGAGGGAACUCUAUUAAUUGUAUAAACACUUGUUACAAAAGCAUAGGUCCAGUAUAUUGGUGGUAUUACAACAUGAUGUAGUAAUGCUGGAUUUGUCUCUAUAAUGUGGCGGUGCUUUCUUUUAGCACAACCAUUUUGUUCCGGUAUGCAGACAAGAUACUUGCUGGGCAAUGUACCAUUUUCAAGUAAAUAAGGUGCUAAAGCUUGAAACUCUCCUCCCCUAACUGCUUGGAAACUUUUUAUUGGUAAGUUGAAGAAUUUUUCAACGAUUGCACGAAACUUAAUAGAAACAUUCAACACAUCAGACUUAUUCUUAAUAAGGUAAAUCUACGAAAAUUUGCUAAAAUGAUCAAAAACGAAAACAUAAAUAAACGAUAACCAUCAAUAGAGGGUACAAGUGAUAGCCCCCAAACAUCUAAAUAAAUGAGUUCUUAUGGUUGAUCAACACUUGAAAAUGACUCUGAAAAAGGUAACUUAACUUAUGCAUCUUUCCUAAGCGACAAGUAUGGCAUGAAUAUUUAGUAAAAGAAGAACAACAAAUUUUAUUAAGAUGGAGAACUUUGCUAACAGUCCUAGAAUUUGCAUGACCGAGCCUUUGACGCUAUGUUUGGAAUGUGACAAGAUUGGCUUCUGGAGGAACCAUACAAAUGACUUGCAAAGGAAUAUUGUAGAGUCCAUCGCUACUCUGGCCUUGGAACAAAACUAGUCUUGUGGGGAUAUCCUUCACAUCAAUAGUCAGGAAAAAACUCCACAGAACCAUUAUUUUAUUUAGUAAAAGCACUAACAGAAAUAAGAUUACGAUGUAUGUCAAGAGAAAGUAAUACAUUGUGGAGAGAGAAAGAGUGAUUAUGAACACAAACUGAAGAAUAACCAACAUUAGAGAUAGGAAUAGUGUUACCAUUUCUGACGACUAUUUCAUCAGUUCCUGGAUACGAUAUUUUAGUCACAAGAUUUUCAACAUCCACAGUGAGAUGAUAAUUAGCAUCAGAAUCUGUGGUUCAUUGUUGGGCAAAAGAAUUUGCAGUAAUAGUAUAAUUGGAGGUGGGAUGAGGAUUGGAGGUGGUACAAGGGGAUAGACAUUAUAUAAGAAUAUGUCUUUACCAUUGCAGUUAUGACAAACAAGAAGUGGAUUGCCGAGUUUGAGAAGAGUAUUGAAAAGAUUAGCAACUACAACCUCUUCCAGAUCUGUCUCCUCGCUGGGACAUUGAUUUGUUAACAAAAUGGGUAGUUGGAUUAAUACAUGAGGCAACAGUUAAAUUUUCAGUUUUUAAUAAUGCUUCUUCACUAAGUAACAUAGCAUACAGAUCAUCAUAAGAUAUCAGUGCAUUUCGACCUUCAUUAGCUCUUAUAAAGGACGAUAUGAGGAAUCAAGGUCCGUAUGUGAUAAUUUCCACAUGUGAGUUUUAUAGGAAGAAAUUGAUUGACAUUUGGAAAAGUUAAAGAGGUUAAGGAGGAAGAAGAGGUUGUUACCAAGGCUUGCGAUGUCCAUAUUUUUAGAGAAGGUUGUGAGGCCAAAUGGCUCUGACACCAUAAAGAAACUCAAUGAAUUAUACCACAAGCACAUCUUAUAUAUAUAUAUAUAUAUAUAUAUAUAUAUAUAUAUAUAUAUAUACAUGAUAUACACAUGAGUCUCUUACAUGAUAUACAUUAGCACAAGUCAAAGAUAAGUGUUGCACAGCUAAUUUACAAGAUAAUAACAUCCUAACAAUAUGAUAAAGUCUGUCAAUUUGAUUUAAAACGUUGAUGUUUCACACUCACAACUUGAAAAAUAAACUCCAAUAUUAAUAAGUCAAUAGUAUUGCCAAAGCUCAUUGAAAAUAUAUUAUCAUAGUUAGUAAUGGCUUUUAAGACUUGGACCAUCCCCACCGGUUCAACCUAUAAAAUCGAAAAUCAGAAGCCAGACCAAGUCAGUUCACUUUUGGAACUCUUUUCACUGAGAACCAUUAAAAUGAUUCAACCAAAUCAAUAACCUAUGAACGGGUUAAUUAGUUUGAAUGGGUUUGAACUUAGUUUUCAAUUGGUAAAGAAAAAUUUUCCAAAUGCUUUUUGUGCAUAUUGAACCUACGACCUAAAAAUGCACUGCUAAGGUAUUACCUACUAAUGCAUGUACACUGUUGUAUUUUUUUUUUUUUUUUAAGAAACAUUGUUGUAGUAAAUUACUUAAAUAAAUUAUUUGUUUAAAUAUUUUAUAAUAGCUACAUUUUCUCUCAACAAUUGUAUUACUUCUUAUUCAACAUUUACAUCGCUAUAAUUAUAAUUAAUGCAAUAAGUUUCUUUUUUUUCUUGUAGAAUUUUAUUUUUCUCAAAUUAAAUAUUCUCUUAUUUAUAAAAAUAAUUUUAUUCAACACUCACCUUUUUUUAUAAUAUUUAACAUAUAUUUAUUAAAUUUAGUACUAAUGAAAUAAUAUUGAAAAUCACUCUAGUAUUAUUAUUUUCUCAUUGUAAUCACUCUAACAUUAUGAACAUAGAAAUAAUAAUUGUUGUCUUAAAGUUAUUUAUUUUAUUUUAAAUUUGCGAUUGUUUGCUAAAACUAUUAUUAUACUGAAAUUUAAUUCUUCUAAUAUUUUAAUAAAUUUUACUAAGUUCAUUUAUUUUAAUUCACAGAAUAUGAUUUUUAAUUUAAAUUAUUAAUUUUAAAUUAUUUUAUAUAAUAUUCAACUAAAUUAUGUUCAAUCACGCGCUACAAAUUAGGGAUUUAUGUUAGACUAAACAUAAUUAAAUUAUAUUUCAAUUACAUCUAAAAUUUUCAUGCACUGGACUACUAAAAAUUUUUGAACUAAAUCAAUUUAACUCCAUUGCCAGAAAGAUAUUGAAUCUUGAUGUUGCUCUAUGAUAGAUGUAUUAUCUUGCUCUAUAACCCUGACAUUAAUGGUCUACCUCCAAUUUGACUGCAUAGACCUGAUACUUUGUGUGAAAUUUGAUUCAUUGAUUAAUAAAAAUAAUAAUAAAUAUAACAUCUUGCGGUAAAAAUAAAUGUGCUCCAUAAAUCAACGGGUGUUGGAUGGUGUUGGAAUGAGUAGUUAGACACUCUUCUUCUUUAAAUAAAGUGAGAAUUCAAUCCUCUUGAAUGAAGUAAAUAUUUGUUGAAAGCACUUCCGUGAAAGCAAGAUUUAAUACUAACCCGCCAUUGAAAAUCAUCUGACUGUAGACUCAUAUAAACUUUAAUCACAUAUGUACAUAGACAAAAGCAGGAAAAUUCAAAAAGCACAAAACAGGAAUUCAAUCCUCUUGAAUGAAGUAAAUAUUUGUUGAAAGCACUUCCGUGAAAGCAAGAUUUAAUACUAACCCGCCAUUGAAAAUCAUCUGACUGUAGACUCAUAUAAACUUUAAUCACAUAUGUACAUAGACAAAAGCAGGAAAAUUCAAAAAGCACAAAAUUACAGUAGUGAUAAAUUUCCAUUUAUGAAAAAAGUAACUUACAGAAUGGAGUAUGAAACUAAGGUAUAGGCAUCAUUUCCGAUUUGCAAUUUGAUUUCGGAUUGUCAAUCUGUGCAAGGAACAACGAUUUAUUAACACUAUUGCUUGCAAUUGUUUCAUGAAGUCUUUCAAAGUAUGAUUCCCUCAGUCCAUUCUCCCUAGCAAUAUCAGAACGUACCCAACCGGAACGGUUUCCUUGUGCACCAGUGACUAUUACUUAAUUAGUUUGAAUGGGUUUGAACUUAGUUUUCAAUUGGUAAAGAAAAAUUUUCCAAAUGCUUUUUGUGCAUAUUGAACCUACGACCUAAAAAUGCACUGCUAAGGUAUUACCUACUAAUGCAUGUACACUGUUGUAUUUUUUUUUUUUUUUUUAAGAAACAUUGUUGUAUUAAAUUAAUUAAAUAAAUUAUUUGUUUAAAUAUUUUAUAAUAGCUACAUUUUCUCUCAACAAUUGUAUUACUUCUUAUUCAACAUUUACAUCGCUAUAAUUAUAAUUAAUGCAAUAAGUUUCUUUUUUUUCUUGUAGAAUUUUAUUUUUCUCAAAUUAAAUAUUAUCUUAUUUAUAAAAAUAAUUUUAUUCAACACUCUCACCUUUUUUUAUAAUAUUUAAUAUAUUUUUAUUAAAUUUAGUACUAAUGAAAUAAUAUUGAAAAUCACUCGAGUAUUAUUAUUUUCUCAUUGUAAUCACUCUAACAUUAUGAACAUAGAAAUAAUAAUUGUUGUCUUAAAGUUAUUUAUUUUAUUUUAAAUUUGCGAUUGUUUGCUAAAACUAUUAUUAUACUGAAAUUUAAUUCUUCUAAUAUUUUAAUAAAUUUUACUAAGUUCAUUUAUUUUAAUUCACAGAAUAUGAUUUUUAAUUUAAAUUAUUAAUUUUAAAUUAUUUUAUAUAAUAUUUAAUAUAUAUUUAAUUAAAUUAUGUUCAAUCACACGCUAUAAAUUAGGGAUUUAUAUUAGACUAAACAUAAUUAAAUUAUAUUUCAAUUACAUCUAAAAUUUUCAUGCACUGGAUUACUAAAAAUUUUUGAACUAAAUCAAUUUAACUCCAUUGCCAAAAAGAUAUUGAAUCUUGAUGUUGCUCUAUGAGAGAUGUAUUAUCUUGCUCUAUAACCCUAACAUUAAUGGUCUACCUCCAAUUUGACUGCAUAGACCUGAUACUUUGUGUGAAAUUUAAUUCAUUGAUUAAUAAAAAUAAUAAUAAAUAUAAUAGCAUUUGGUAAAAUUAAAUGUGCUCCAUGAAUCAAUGGGUGUUGGCAAUAGUAAUUAGGCACUCUUCUCCCUUGAGUGAGAUUGAGGAUUCCAUCCCCUUGAAUGAAAUAAAUAUUUAUUGAAAGCACUUUACCCUUAGAAGGCCUCUCUUGAGAGAUUUAGUCUAACCCGGCAUUGAAAAUCAUCUGACUGUAGACUCAUAAACUUCAAUCACAUAUGUACAUAGACAAAAGCAGGAAAAUUCAAAAAGCACAAAAUUACAGUAGUGAUAAAGUUCCAUUUAUGGAAAGAGUAACUUACAGAAUGGAGUAUGAAACUAAGCUGUAGGCAUCAUUAUCCGAUUUGCAAUUUGAUUUCGGAUUGUCAAUCUGUGCAAGGAACAACGAUUUAUUAACACUAUUGCUUGCAAUUUUUUCAUGAAGUCUUUCAAAGUAUGAUUCCCUCAGUCCAUUCUCCCUAGCAAUAUCAGAACGUACCCAACCGGAACGGUUUCCUUGUGCACCAGUGACUAUUACAGUAGUGUCAUCAGUAGCAAAAUUAGCUAAAGCAAUCAUUGCUUCCGGCUCAGUAGCUGAUGAGGCAUCCACCACAAAAAUGUGACUAAAAUGACCAGCCAUGAUGCCUUUAUUGUGCAGCCGAAAGCUACUUACAUAAGUAGACACUAUUACUCUGAAUUUUUGGAGUUCUUGAAGUGGAGGACAAGCAAAGCAUUCACCUUUUAAAACACAUGAAGGGAGAAUGUCAAGAGGUACUCCAUCUACCUCCCGAAAAGCAGCAUUUCCUCGAAAUAUAUCCGAUUCAGGAAUGUACUUCUUCAAGCUUCUUGUUAGCAAAUCACAUGUGCUGUUGAUAGGUGCACAUACAAGAAUCCGAUGAUCUCGAGACUUUUUAUAAAUUUGAAGCAUUGCUUCUUGGAUAACCAAUCCGGUUCUUGAUAAUGCUUUAGGCUCAUUCCGUUUUUCUUUAGUUACACAAAGUGGACCUUCAAUAAGAUAAGGUGGCGAACCAUGGAAUUUUAUGAUCUGUUGAACUGCUGACAUUUGAUCUGUAUCAAGUUUAUAAUUAAAAUAGGAAGGAGAUGAGGCAGAAAUGAGCCUUCUGGAGCGAAAACUAGGGAAAGUGAAACUUUCAAAUGUAGGAUGCGAAGCAGCUUCAAUUGCUUGAUGUCCCCUUUUUAAACAAACUCUGUUAAAUGAGAAGCUAACAUCAUAUUUGCGAGACGAAUAAUGUUGAGAAUGAAAACCUUUACCAAAUUCAACUAAUACAGUAGUGCUUUUCACCACUCGAUAGAUUAUACCCUGAUUUGCAUUUGAAAAAUAAUUAUGAUUGUGGAUAAAAUCAAUUUAUGAGAUUGAAAUACUUUUUCAUAACAUAACCCGAUGGAAGUUCAUGACACUGACCUGAAAUGGCUCAAUAUUACUUCCUGAAGGUUUUGCUAAGUCAAAGUCCCUUGAUAAAAGAAAUGGCCGUUUCUCACGUGCCGCAUCAAUCUUAAAUUCCACAAAUAUUCUAUCAUCCUUAUCAUCACUGUCUGUGAAGUAUGACCAUUUAAUUGUAGCUUCUUGCAACUUUAAAGUGAUGCCCAACAAUUUGAACUUACUCCAUUGCUGAUUCCAACAAGAGACACACUAAUUUCAACUCCAAUACAAAGGAGUAAUUAAAUUUACAAUAUCAAAUUACUGAACCAUAAGCACAUUGAAACCAGAAAGUAGUUUUCAUACAUCAAAUAGAAAAAAUAUAAUACUGUAAAAUUCAGAGAACUUGCAGAUCACAUGCAGCACAGACUGGUUCCAAAAACGAAUUAUUUAUACACAAUUCUAUCUACCAAAAAUGUGAUUACAUUUUCUCUUUUGUGCAUGUGUUUUGCUCUUCUUUUUUUUUUUUUUUUUUUUUUAAAAAAAAAAAAAAGGGAAGAAAGAAAGGCCUUGUACAUAUGGAACCAAUUGACUUGAAUUGUUUCCAACCAUGUCAUAAAAGUACAAUACAGCUAUUGCAUUUAAUAAUACGUCUAAACAUGACAAAGGAAAGUUAUUACACCGUUUGCUAAACAUUUUACCAGCAUUUGAAGAGGAAAAACAAAAAUCUACUUAUUAAAAAAAAGCAUUGCAAAUGAUCAAUCAUCGACCAAAGUUUCAAUAAUUCUUAUGUCAUUCUAUUGACAAGAAAUCUAGAAUCUAUCAUUAUCACUAGUCUUCCCUUAAUGUGGUGAUGCUAUUAUCAUGCCCUCAGGACUUCAUCCUUUUUCUGCAAGUUGUGGAAUUAGAAUAUUGUAUUUAGACAGCACCGGUUGUCUUAUGACAGUCAACCAAUAAAUAUUUAUCAUCUAAAAUGAAAGCAGUGCACAAUUAAGUAUAAUGGCAGCUUGUCUGUCAUAUCAUGAAAUCCUUGAAGUUUACCAUAUGCUUGCAUAUAAUGAGCAAUCAUUGUGAACAAAAUACACAAAAGUUCAACAAUAUUUUCAAGCAUAUAUUUUUUCUAGAUGACUUAAGAAUAUGUUGUAAAUUUCCUACCUAUAUGUUUAUAUGACAAUUCAGACAUUAUUACACUUAACAAAAUUUAUGACUGUAUCAGAUGAUAUCCAUUUGAUGUUAUUUGACUUCUAGACCAUUCAAAUCAAUGAAAUCGAAAAAAAAAAAAAAAAAAAAAAAAAAAGAUCCCAUGUUUGAUAUAAUUUGGUAUUAAAUAUAGAGAAUUUAAUCAGUUCAAUAAAUUCUGCAAAUGAAGAGCCUGCAGUUGCAUAAUGUUUUAUGAUUUAUAGAAUUUGAGUCUGAGAUGACUCCAUUGACCAAAAACUCUACUCUCACACCUGUUGGAUUAAGAAUCAGCAAACUCCAUUUAAAUCGUGGCAUUGCUACUACAAACCAAAAAAAGAUCUUAUGUUUCUAGGCCCCAAAGGGCCUAACAAUAAUACGACAAAGUCAAUACAACUCUUACUUCAAUUUGGAUGAUAUCUGUCCAUAUCUCCAUUUGAGUAGCCCUUCUGGAAGUGAUCCUCAAAUUCUUUUGAAGGCUCAAUUUAAAGCAAUUUCAUAGCAUGUCUUUGAAUACACAUAGAUACUUUUCUUAUUAACUAGAUUAUUAAUGAAGGCACCCAAGACGUUAUCCAAGUAAUUAUUACCUCAAUAUAAAAGUCCUCUGCAUAUAGAAGAGCAGCAAAAUAGUCCUUGUAUGUUGAGACACACAAUGGCCUUUUCAAAACUCCAGGUACUUUGUCUUUCUUGAUCAAAUCUUGUAUAUCCUUAGGAAUCGCAUAAAUAGGUAAUGCAUCCUUUUGAACCCAUAUGUAGUUUGCUUUUGAAUGCUCAUUUGUGCCAUUUGGGGAAGUUGGAGCCAGGGUUGACUUAAAAGAUGCAGGGGUUACAGAGGAUGAUGUAGAUUGCUUUGAGGACGAAAGAGGUACUUUACUUGAGAAUGUAAAAGGUUUAGAAGACAGUGGAGAUGGCUCAGAGUGGGAUGUUUGAAAUUUUAGGAUAGGUGAUGUAUUCUUUUCAACCUGUUUGUUGGCGGCUUUUGUCUGUUGAUUGGUCACAUUUGAGAAAGCCGGAGUCAAAGUUAGUUUAAAAGAUGGUGGG